AAAAAAAAAAAAAGUACCCAUAAAGCUGUUUUCUUUCAUGAAUUUGACCUCUUUAACGUGGAAAACAAGGCUUUUGAAAUGAAAAAUUACAUUCCAAGCGUAAAAUCUUAGAAUCUAAUUAAGAAGUUGAAAAUGGGUGAAUAAAAGCAUACCUUUGGAUAAUCCAAGUUUCGAAUGAAAGUGAAGAAAACUUAUUAAAGAGGGGGGAAAAGCAAAUUAAAUUUUUGUUUAAAAGAAACAAAAUUCGGGUGAAGAAAACUUAUGAACAGUAAUUCUUAAGAUAGGAGAGUAAAAAAAUAACUAUAUUUAAAACCAUUUAUUAUUGGGUAUUUAACUCGUGAUGUUAAUUCACUUAGUUUUAUUAACACACCCAUUAUCUAGGCCUGCAUGGAAAAAAAAUAUUAGUAGCUUUUAAGAUUUUCCUUUUUGGUUUAAAAAAAAUCCUAAAAGAUAAAAAUAUCUUUAUAAAUUAGAAAGAAACGGCUAGGGGUGUUCAUGGGUCGAGUCGGGUUCAGUUCAGGUCUAAAUAUGAUAUUAAUAUACUUUAUACUUACUCAAGCUUGGCCCGGCCCAAUAUUUAGGCAUAAAAUUUUACUCAAAUUCGCCCAUAUUUGUAAAAGGUUAAUCCAAGCUCAUUUUAGGUCCAUCAUAUCAUUUUUAAUUUUUUUAAAAAUAUUUAUUUUAUUUCAAUAUUUAAUAUUUUUUAUAUAAUCAUUAACAUUAAUUUAAUGUUUACAUUAAAGUAGUAUUAUAUAUUUAGUGUUUUUUAAUGUGUAUUAAAUUACAUAAUAUAUUAAACUAACAUAAUAUAAAAUAUUAUAAACUUAAAACGGGCCGGGCCAAGCUCGGGGCCUUGAAUGUUCAAGCCCGAGUCUAACCCAUAUUUUAAACAGGCCUAAUUUUUUUUAUUCAUACCCAUUUUUCAAAUCUAAUAUUUUUAAUUAAAUCCUCUCAAAUUUUAAACAGGCAUUCGAGCCUAACUCAUAAACAUGUCUAGAAACCACUUUAGUUAUUAGUUUUGAGAUUAUUAUUAUUAUUAUUAUUAUUGUUUAAAGCUUCAUCCUUUUGAUCUUAUCACGCCUACGGUGUGAUGGAUCCCACGAGUAUUUUGUGUAUUUCUUUUUUACGAAAUUGAUCAUCUGGAUUUAUGAAAUUAAAUUUAAUUAUAAGAUUAUCACUGUCAUGUAUUUUUUUUUCUGUUUUGUGGUCUAUAUUGAGUAGAUUUGUCUAUGGCUCAGCUCGGUUUGAAGGUGCGUUUGAAGAGCAGAGGAUUUGGACUAAAAUAUAAGCUUAAAAAAUAGUUUUGUAUAAAAAAAAUGCCUGCUUUCCUAAUGGGUUAGGCUUUGGGUAAGUUUUUUUUUUUUUACCUCAAGCCCGACCUUACUUUGCAAAAAAAAAUGGCUGCUAUUUUUUUACUAUUUUGCCACUAUUUUUCAUUAUUUUGCUAUCAUUUUGUUAUUAUAUUGCUACUAUUUUGUGACAUUAUUUGGAUAUUAUAUAACUCUUAUUUUUUUUAUUAAUUUUACUACUAUUUUAAAAGUAUUUUCUUACUAAAUUACACUUAUCUUAAUGUUAUUCAGAUAUUUUUUUUAUUUUCUUCCAUUUGUUGGGAAAUAUGUAUUUUAAUGUUUUUUAGUAUAUUUGAUUUUUUAAAAUUUAUUUUUACAUAAAAAUAGUAUAAAAAUUUUAAUACAAAUGGGCCAGGCUUGGGAAAAUUUUUAAUCCCAUUUUUUAGGUCGGGCUCGAGAUUAGAAAAUGCACCUAAAAUUUUUAUUUGGCUCAGCUCAUGAAUAACUCUAAUUGAGAGUUUAUAGUUAUUGUUUUUAAUAAUGGUAAUUCUAAUAUUUGAAUCUACAAUUUUUUUUAAAUAUAAUAUAUUUUAGUAAUAUGCUCUAACACAUGUUUUAAAUGAAUGUAUUAUUAUGUGCAAGUAAACAUUUUAAAAUAAAAUUAACAAAUCAUCACACUUUUAUAACGUUAAAAAAUUUAAACCAUUUUAUAUGAUGGUUGCUAAAUUUAUUUGUUGUUAAUUUAAAUGAAUGUAUUAUUUUGGUGGUUUUGUGUUUGUUUGCCUGUUUUGAAAAGGUGGGUGGUGUGGGUUUCUGUUUUAAUGCGCCUCUUCAGCUGCUGUAGUUGAUGGUUGGGUAUAGAGGUGAUUAUGAGCUGGGUUGAGUUUGAGUUGGGUUUAAUUAAAAUUUUAGGCCUAUUUGUUAAGUUUAGAUUUGAUUCAGUCCAAAAAAUGAGUCUAAAUUUUUGUUCAAAUUUGACUUGGAUAAAAAUAUUAAAAUUCGGUUUCAACUUGUAUUAAUUUUUAUAUUAUUUUUUAUAUAAUUUCUUUUAAAAAAUAUAAUACAUCAAAAACAUUAAAACUAUUUGAAUAAAUAUUUCUAAAAAAAUUGAAAAUAAAUUUAAAAAACAUUAACAUAAGUGAAAUAAUAGUAAAAUAGUAAAAAAAUAGAAAAAAAGUAAAAAAACAGCAAAAAAAAAUGCAAUUAUUUUUUACAUAUUCAAGCCGGGGCCGGGCUAAAAAAUUCUUACCCGAGGCUUGGCUCAUUUUUUAAGCAGGCUUUAUUGUUUUGCUCAAAUUUAUUUCUCAAACCUAUAUUUUUACCAAAAUCCUCUCACUUUUCGAGUAAACUAGACGGCCUAGCUCAUAAGCAGGUCUAAUUGAAUGUUGUCUUAUUUUUUUUAUUAUUUUAGUAAAGAGCAGGAGUUAUUCAAAGAAAAAAAAAUAUUAAGUUAGUGAAAAACUUCAAAUACUAAAUUAGAAAAAUGAACAAGUUCAUAUAACACAAUGUUAAUUAAGUGUAAGCAUGUUACCCUCUCUACUACGUGGGUGGUAAAAAAAUUCUAUGUCUCAUAUUUUAGAAUUGUCCAUGCCUAAAUUUAGACCUAAAUCUAGAUAGAGAAUUUUUAUAUAUUAUCUUUAUUUAAGUUUUAUUUAUAUCGAAUUAAAAACUUGACAUAUUAUUUAAACCUAACCUAUAUAUUAAGUAGGGUAAUUCAAACCUAACCCUACAAAAAUUAAAGUAUUUUUUUUUUAUUUUCUCAUUAGAUUUUCCCGAUAAAAACUUUUAACAAGAUAACUAACAAUAAAAAUAAAAAAAAUAUUAUGUACUCUUCUCCUUUAUUAAAAUUUUAUUUUGCAGGCUUUUUCUUAAUAAAAUUUCAACGAUGCAUAUUUAUUCUUAAUAGAAUGACGUUAAACCGGUCAUUUAUUUAUUUUACAAAGUUGUUUUUAUUGUUUAAGUUCGGUAAGUUGUAUCUUUUUAUUACUAUUAUUUAUUAUAAGGGUUGAUAUUUGGUAUAUUCAUACUACAAUUUUUUAAUUUCACAAGUGUGAGUUAAAAAAUUACUGCAUGUCUUUUAUAUAUAUAUAUAUAUUAUUUUUUAUUAUAUCUUACACUCAUUUUUUUUUUAUUACAAAUACCCUACAUUCACUUGUCAUCACUCCAACCUACUUAUUGUUAAUAAUAUACCAAAAAUUUUCUUUUUAUUAUAUCAUUUAUAUAAAAAAUAAACAAAAUUAAUAAAAUGCAUUUUAAUUCAAAAUUGCAUUAUCAUAUACAAUAUUUUCAUGUGUAAAUGAUAUAAUUAAAAUUUUAAAUUAAAUUACUUUUAUAUAAAAUUAUUAUUUUUGUUUAUUUUAAAAUAAUUAAAUAUAGUUGAAUUAAUAUUAAAACCCUUUAUAAUAAAAUUUUAAAUAUAUCAAUAAUAGAUCAUAGAUAAAAGUGAUACCAUUAUAAAUUUAGGUUCUUUUUUAAAUAAAUUAUUGAAAAAAAUUCAAUUAUUAAUUAUUUAAUUUUUUAAAUAUGUUUCAUUUGUUUUUUUCCUCUAUUUUUUCAUUGUUUUUCUAAUUUAUUCCAAGCAUUAUUGAGAAUUGAUGAAGUUAUGAAGACGUGGAUAAUUCAGGAAUGCAUCAAAUGAAAAUUUAUCACAUGUAGAAGGCAGAGUAUCAAAAUUUCAUGAUCAAUUUAAGAGAAUUAAUAUAAAAUGAUUUAAAUUAAUUAACUUUUUAUAUAAUAUUUAUUUUUAAAAAAAUUAUAUUUAAUAAUAUAAUUUAUUCCAAAUAUUUUGUAUUUAUUGCUAGCCAUUUAAAAUUUGACAUUGUUUAAAAUAACCCACAAUAUUUGAUAUUUCUUAUGUUCGUUUUAUGAUUUAUAUUUAGUAUUCGUAGUUGUCCCUCCCAAAAAUAUCAUCUUCAAGGUUUGAACCUAAGUCCUUCUCUUGAGAGUGCAAUAUAACUUAGCAUUACACCUAACUAUUUUUUAGUUAAUUCAAUUGGUACUAUUUAGUCAUUCCUAUUACUUAUAUUUAGCAUAAAGUGAGAAAAAAUUUCGCUUAUUUUUAAAGAAGACUUAUUUUUUACAAUAGUUAUUAUUCAUCUUUCUAAUUUGAAGUUUAAAUCCAUACGAAAUAUUUUUUAUGUUACGUCUAACUAUUGUAAUAUAUAUAUAAUAAUUUUUGUUCUCAUAUUAUUAUUAUCAAAGGGCAUAAAAAUUUCAAACAUUUUAAAAUUGUCAAGUUUUAACCAAAUAUUUAUCUUCCUAAAGAAAAAAAUAAUACGACUUAAAUUUUAAUUAUUUAUAAUGAGAAGUUUCAUUUUUAUUUAUUAGAAGGAUAUUUGAGCACAUUUUUAAAAAAUGACAUUUUGGAAAGGUCAAAUUCUAUAUAAAGUCCUUAUACUAUGCAUUUGUUUCCAAUUUAGUCAUCUUCUAUAAUUUGAUAUUUCAAUUCCUUCUGCUAUUAGAAAUUUAAUCCCUUUAUUUUUUGGAAUGUAUAUUCUCAUUUAUGAGCAAAUUUUUUGUUAAUUCCAUCAAAUAAUUUGAUAUGGCAUUUUCCUUUAACAUGUAAUGACAUAACAUAAAAUACUUUACCUUUUUUGUAUAAUUAGACAAAUUUUAAUAUAUUAAAAAGGGGAAAAUGUGUAAUAUUUGGCUAACUUUACAAAAAUAGCAACAUGUUUGGAAAUAUAAGUGGGGGAAAAUUAUUUGACAAAACCUACUGAAAAAGAUUGAACUUAUAAUUAUAGUUAAGGGAUUAAAUCUGUCAAAAAUGCAUAUUACAGGCACCUUUUGUAAAAUUUUAACUUUUGGAAAAGUGAAAGAUCUAAAAUUCUUUGGUACGUUUCUCAUGGAAAUAGUCACCUUGAAAACCAGAUGAGGAAAAAGAAAGCACCAAAUAAUCCAAAACAAAAGCGCUAAAAAAAGUAAACCCAUUUCUUCUAUCCUCUCUAUUCCUCAAUUCCUUGAUUUUUUGUUCUAAAAACUAUCUGAAUUUAGAUUUUUUUUUAUUCUUUUUUGAAAAGAGAAAGGGAACUCUGUGUUUGAAACAUUGUUUACAUUGUUUUAUGGGAAAAUCAAUUGUUUGUACGACGAAAGGGCAAGACUUUGCAAAAGCAGUCCCAUCAGACAAACUUCAUACAGCAAAACACGUAAAACCCGCAUCGAGAAACAGAGUUUCUUGCCGCGAAAAGGCGGGGCGAAGUGGGGUCCGAGUCAACUCAGCGCGAGUCAAGCUGAAAGCAAUGGAUACCUGGGGUAACGACGACCGGAUUCCGCUGGCUCAGGUGGUUUCCGAGUUGGUAAAGGGAUGGUUUCAAGAGGCUCUUAAGGAGGCCAAGGCUGGUGAUACCAACAUGCAAGUCCUUGUUGGACAGAUGUAUUGCAAUGGCUAUGGUGUUCCUAAAGAUGUUCAAAAGGUCCUAUCUUUUUAUUAUUAUUAAAUUUGGUUUAUGGAAUCAACUUUUAUGUUUCUUGUAGUUGUAAAUGCUUAAAAAAGGGGUAAUCUGAUGCAUUUUGUUGCUUUUCAUGUUGGUAAUUUUUUUCCUUGCUGUUCUUUGUUUUCUUGAAACUUUUCAUGGAUUUAGUUCUUUUGUGAUAUAGCAAUUGUCUUACACAUGCUUUAAAAGGGCUAAUUUGAUUCAUUUUUCAUUUUUUUGUUGUUUUUCUUGCCUGUAUGAUUUAUUGGGACUCUUUAGUUUUAUGAUGUGUGAUUACUAACGGUCUCAAAUGUAUCAUAAAUCUCUCUAUGUUUUUUAUAUUUCUUCUAUUGAUAAACUAUUUUCACUCAUUGAAAUCCGAAACUUUACUGACCCUCUAUCAAACCUCUUGCAUUUCUCUACAAGAAAAAGGUGCUUCAUGUUACUGAAUUUGUUUCUCUAUUGGUGCUUAAUGAUACCUGAAAGGUCUCCAUGGUGUUUUCAAAUGUUUAAUUUGCUAAUAGACUACUCUUCCUUGCUGACAUUUAUGAUGCUUUAUUGUUCGGAUACUUUCAUGUAUUGUGCACUUGUUGUGAACUCCGGAAUCAUGACGGUAUUAGCUCACUAAUCGUUUCUUCUGAAAUUAGGGGCGUGCUUGGAUUAGUAAAGCUUCAAGGAGCAGAUCUUCAGUAUGGAAAGUUAGUGAUAAGCAUCCAGGUACUCUCUGUGUGUGUGCUUUUGUGAAAGUAGGGUUGUUUCUGCUUUCUAAAACGAUCUUUCUUCGGUUUCCUUCAGGUUAUAAUGCUAGUGACUCCGAUUCUGAUGAAUUGAGGGAUGAUGCAGAAUAAGUUUUGACCUGUAUUCGUUUUAAAAUCAUCCACAAAUAUGUAAGUUGUUUAUUGAUUGUUAAUAUGCUUCUUUACCUCUGCAUUACGAAUUUGCAGAUUUUUCCAAAAUGCCAUAUGUUAUAUACAUAUUAGUUCCCGAAGUUUCUUGUGCAUGAAAUAGUAAUCCUUUUUUUGAUUAAUACCGAUAAUAUUGAAUAUAAUUGCAGAUCUUACAGUAUCAGGAACGUAUACAGUGUUGAAUACCAAGCUACUCUAUCCGUUUUACCUUCUGCAAUGUAUUCUAAGUCAUGCCUCUUUAACUAGCUGCAUUUCCUUGCCAAUGGAGAGAUGAUCCCCUAUUUUUUUUGUCAUUUCUUUAACAUCUUUAUUUCACAAAGUGUUUUUAUAUUUUGCUAUUGAGAUCACAGGUUGUUGGCUUUUAGAUGUUUGUUUAAGUAUUUCUAUUAGAUGAACUUCACCUAUUGAUGCAGAAGAGUAUCAUAGAUUUGUAAGAAUCAUAUUCAUAAAAUAAAAAAAAAAUUGAUAUAAAGUUAGAACACUUUGUUUAAUGUUUGAUCAAAUUUUUUACAAUUUGCAACAAAUUAAUUAGGGUAACCCUUUAUUUCUUUAUGCUGGUUUAGAUAGAUGGUCACCUCUUCUAUGAGGGAGGGACUGUGUCAUCUGCCUUGUCGUUUGUCUUUCCUCCAUUCCCAUGGCUUCUCAGGAUUUGAUGUAGCCCAUAAACCAACUCUCUUCGCUCGAGCCUGUUUUUCCCACUAGUUUUUAUACAAAUACAUGAUGUUCAGAAUUCACAGACUAUGAUUUUAACAGACAGAAAUGGUUUAACAACCGGGUCUCAAGACGUCUCUCUCAUGCCGUCAAUGUACCGUCCUCUGUAAGCACCUAUAUGGGCAAGGACUCUCUUUGAAUCCUUAAGAGGCAGGUAGGUACUUAAAGAAAACGAUACCUUUGAUGUAAACAAAAACUGGUGGUGACAUUGAUAGCUGAAUUUCGACGUGGGAAGACAUCUGAAACCCUGGAUUGUUACAGUUGGUUACUUACAGUUGCAAGCUCUACGCGUUGGUCGUAAGCUGAGUAAUGCCAUGCGAGCCCCUUUUUCAGCAUUACUUCCUGUUUGGAAACAAGAUUAUUAGAAAAAUCUGAACUUGUUCUUAUGAGGUAAACCGGGAGAAGAAUGUUUUAUAUGAAGAAAAAAACCUGAACAAAUUUGCCAUCGCAGUAUAUAUCACCAACACAGCGGCCAUAUUGGUCUUCAUCAUAGACAAGAACUCGUAAACAUUUCCCCUGAACAAGCUUAACCAACUCUUCUUUUGCUUCUUUACCGUAUGGCAUCGAACUCUCUGGUGCAUCGAUUCCCCUGUUUCAUUGCACUGUCAUGAUAUUUAGCUGAUGGAAGAUAGACUUUCAAGAAUGGACUAAUGUUACCUUAGCCGGAUUCGAUACUUUCGAGCAAGGAUCUCUUGAUUCUGAAGAUUUAAGACCCUGGAAUUGUUAAAGAAAAUGGAUUAUUAGUUACCAUUAUAUAUGAAUCACUCAACUGAAUCUGAUCGUCUAUGGGAGAUUAAAGAGUUUGAACCUGUAUCCUGAAUCAAUAAUUUUCUUGUGAAGCUCAUCAGCUUUUGUAUAGUUCUUGGCAGCACGGGCUCUCGAUCUUUGAUCAGCUGCCGAUUGGACAUCUCGAGGUACAUUCAAUGAUUCCCUGGGAUCUGUAGUACUUACAUACACUGUUAUGGUAUCUCCAUCAGGUACUGCUUUGGUGUCCACCUAAUUUAAUCAAAGAGAAAGUUAGUUUGAAGCUAUAUUGCUGAGAAACAAAGACUUGAAGUUUCAAGAAAGACACAGAAUACUUACUGGUAAAGUCUGCAAUUCAAACUUAACUCCUUGAGGCAAUGAUGUUGUGGCGCUGGCAGAAGACUGCUGAGGAAGACCAUAGUACGCUAAUAAUCCCUAAAAACAGUUAAAAAAGAACAAACAAUGGAUUCAUUUCCCAAUUUUAAACUAAUUGGACUUGUAAGAUUUAAUGGUGUUUGCUGCAUCAUUCUACCUUAACAUCUGCCUUUUGGUGUCUCUUCAAUGUCUGAAUGACAAGGCUUGAAGCUUCCUCAGGUGUUUUUGGUGGUGGUUUUGCUUCUCUCCAAGCAUCUAAUAGCUUUCUAUACCUUUUCAGACAGACCAGAGCCACAUCGUAAUUGUUCAAAAUUGUUCGUAAAUAAUACUGUUAAAUUACUUACCAGUUAGCCUGAGCUUUCUUGGAUGAAACGACGUGAUAACUUAGCCCUUCAGGAACCUAAAAACAAAAUUUGGAAAUACAAAUAAAGGUGAAUGAUGAAAAUCAAACUAACCCAGAUUUUAUUUUUUAGCCAAUUAGGCUGAGUCAUAUCUCAAUUAUGGGUUCAUCACCCUUCACUUUUAAGGUAAUGAAAAACAUGAGAGAAAAAAAGAUACCUGAGAGGUGAUAUCAAAUUGGAAGAGAUCAUGGGAAAGAGCUGAAACUCCAUCCUUGCCUUGGGAGUCACCAGCUGUGGUUGGCUUGCAGCAAUGGCUAUACAACAAUCUCAGAGCAUUCCCCAUCUUCAAAUUCUAUCAAAUCUAAUCUUCUUUUUUCUUUUCCUGUUUUGAACGUAGCAGAGAUUCAUGACGGGAGGGAGGGAGCCUUUAACAAAGGAACGACUAAGGUCAUUGAUGGAAACGUGGCGAGGUAUGAUUGGUGGAUAAUGAUUAACUAUUUGUUCGGUUUUUUUGUUUUACUAUGAAGAUGAAGAUCUAUGAGCCAUACGCGGUUAAACUCGAAAGUCAACCAUUUUUUUUUUGUCGUAUGUUGUAAGUAACGUUUGCGUAUGAGAUAUUGCUCGGCGUAAAGCCCGGUCCAAGCUCAUGGGCUGGUUGUGCUACAUGUGGUUUUAAUUUCUAAUACAAAAAAAAUUUUAAUUCAUGCAUAAGUUCUGGAUUUUUUUUUCAAUUAAGUACUAAUGUAUGCAUAUGAAAUAUAUGUGGUUGUGUUAUAUGUAUAUAAUAUUUCUACAAUAAAAUUUGUGAAAAUUUCAAUCACAACUAACAAGUAAUAAGCUAGCUUUCUCUUAUCCCCAAUCUCCAUGGACAAUGCCAAGAGCUUCCAUGAAGAAAAAACCUUAGUCAGAUUACUUGUUAAAAGUUACAACGGCCAUUGAUAACCAUUUCAAGCUUCUUAUACGUGCUAACAAGUAAUACGUCGGCAAUGGGUGAAGAUUGAAUAGGAAAUCAAGCUAGUUUGAGAUGAUAAAUCUUCAAAGAGUGUAGAUAUGCAGGAUGAAGAUAUAGUUGGGUAUUUAUAUCUAGCAUUCUCAUUGUUUUUUUGAACAUAGUAGUAAGCUAGAACUAAUCAUGAGUCGCAUUUGGCUGGAUCGAUACAAAAUUUUAAGUUAGUUUUUAGGUUCAAGUUCAACCCGGAAAAUAAGUUUAAAAUUCUACUCAAGUUCAACUCAGAUUAAAAAUGCUAAACCAAAGUUCGACUUGGUCUGCCCGUAUUAAUUUUGUUAAGAUUAUUUUUUAUAUAAAAAAAUUUAAAAAAUAUAAUAUAUGAAAUAACUAAAAACAAUAAAAUUAAUGUUUCCCAACAAAUUAAAAAUAUAUUUUUUUAAAAAAAUUAUACUCAAAAUAACACUAAGAUAGCUUCAACUUAGCAAACAAGUGCUUCUAAAAUAGUAGCAAAAUUAAUAGUAAAAUAAGAGUUGUACAAUAUCCGAACAAUAAUAGCAAAAUAGUAGUAAUAUAAUAGUGAAAUAGUAGUAAAACAACAACGAAAUGGCAACAAACAACUGAUUCGGGUUAGGACGGGCUCAAGCAAAAAAAUCCUACUUGAGGCCUAACUUGUUUAGAAAACGAGUAUUAUUUUUUGUCCAAACUCAUUUUUUGAGCUUAUAUUUUUGUCUAAACCCUAUCAUUUUUUGUGCUGGUGGCUUGGCCAUAAUCAAGUCUAUAGUAAACUAGCCUACCUAAUUUAUUUUGUAACCUCAAUUGCUCAAGGUCCUUUUUAACAAGUGGUUGAGUCUCGAUAACUACUUGUUAUGACAAAUGACUUUAUUCAUUGACUAAAAUUAGAUAGGCCAGAACUCCGUGUGUUGGCUUGAUAAUCAGGAUGUUCACCGUUGCAAAUGUGACUUGAGUUCAAGUCACGUUAGUUGCGUUGCUGUUAGGCUUUUACCCUUCUCCUGUAAUUAAAAACAAAAUAGGCAGAUUACUUAAGACUUCAUUGGCUGAAACUUUUCACAAUUUGAUUCUUUUGCUUUUCAAAAAGUAUAUUCGAUUAAUCGUAUAUAUUUUGAUGUUUUUUUAUGGUUAAACAAAUAUUCUACAUUUUUUAGUCUAUUUUAAAUGUGCUUAAUCUUUGUCCAAUAAUAUAAAAAUGUCACAUCAAAUACAUAUUUUAAUUAAAUAAGAUAGUUGGAUUAUUUGAUGAAAUUAAUGAAAAAAAAAAGUUGAUCUAAAGAUUAAAUCAGGGGUGAAAAAAAAGUCGAAAUUAAAUUGUAUAUUUUUACGAUAGUAAAAAUGUAAUUUCACCAUUUUAAUAUCUAUAUCUUUAUAAUUUUUAAAGGAUUAAAUCAAAAUUUUAUCAUUUUUAAGAAAGCCAAAAUAUAAUUUUACUUUUACUAAUUUAAAUUUUUAUAAAUUUUAAAAGGGAUCUAAAUGGAAAAGUUUUUGGAAAAGUAAAAACCUAGAAAUUGUCAAAUGUGAAAUUUAAAUUUCAAUAUUCCUUUUUUUUAAAACUAAAUUUGAUUAUUAUUUUCUUUAAAAGAGUUAAAUUAUUUUAUUUUUUUUAAUAAAAAUACUGAUUAAAUCAUUAAUUUUUUUUAAUGAUUUUGACAUGACAAUUCGCAUAAUAAUUUAUGUAAUUACGUUGACAUGAUAGUAAUUAUUUCAUAUGUUUAUAAAAUUUCAAAAAAACUAAUACAAAAUAUAUGUGAAUUGCUGCUAAUGUGAAAUUUAAUUAAAAAAAGAGAGAGUAGGGAAUGGGCAAUAGCAAGAGGUUGGGUGAGGGAAAAAAGGUUUAAUCAGAAAGCCUCUUUCCCUCUUAAGAUAUGUUAAGUAAUGAUGUAAUCGUAGGCCAUGCAUCGAAAGCUGAACAAUGACUAAGUAUUAGCCAAAUAUUUGGUUGCCUGAAAAUGUAAAAGGAAAAGUAGUGAGAAAGAAAGUGCUAAAAUAUUGUAGUUAAAAACAGUUGGUGAAUGGUGGCUAAUGAAAAAUCGUAAGCAAGCUCCAUUCAUCUCAAAACCUACUCUCCGUAUUCUUCGUAUCUUUUCAUCCACCCUCUUCAAUUCUCCACAUUUCCCUCCUCCAGCAUAAACAAAAAGGUUAAUGUUGAUCAAGGCCAAAAGCCAAAACAAACCAUGGGUGAUUCAUCUCUCAAUGAUUUGAAACCUGAAUACAGGGUCGAUGGAUCAUGUUGGAAAUUUGUUCCAGUUAUUUCAGAAGGAUUUUUUAACCAGAGACCUCGUGACAUUUUCAGACAUCAUCUCAUUCUCUUACAACUUCAAUUAGCUGUCAUUUUCACCCUUACUGCCAUCAUUCAUUUCUUUCUUGGUCGCUUCUAUUUGCCUCGUCUUAUAUCUGAAGUGCUGGUACUCACCUCUGAGCUUAUGUGUCAUUUUCAUUUCUUUUGCAUAUAUAAGAUGUUGUACUUGUUUUGUUUUGUGAAUAUGACAGGCAGGGGUAAUUCUUGGACCGACUGUUCUUGGUCGAUUCUUUCCGGACAUAUCGGCAGUUUUAUUCUCCGAACAAUCGGUGAAAGUCCUGGCUACAUUGACACGGUUCGGGUACUUGUUUUUCAUAUUUUUGAUUGGUGUGAAGAUGGAUGUAAAUCUAAUCAAGAAAUCAGGUAAAAGGGAAUGGACUAUAGGCACCAUGGUGAUGUUAUUCCCCCUUCUGGUCACUGUUAUGGUUGGGAGACACAUAAGCAUAGUGGUGGACAAGGUGGAUGCACAAAGCGCCCAGUACGAGGUUUCGUUCUUCACUGGCGUACUAAUGCUAACCUCAUUCCCUGUGGUAGCCAUACUUUUAAUGCAACUCAAGAUCAUUAACUCAGAGUUGGGACACCUUACAUUGUCAUCAGCAUUGAUUAGUGACAUGGUAAGUUUAGUAAUGGUAAAUAUAGGUAACUACAGGGUAAUAAUGUUAUUGGCAUCGUUACGUGUAGCUCUCAAGUCUCUGUUCCUCGUUGCCGUCCUUAUCGUGUUUAUCCUAAUGGUUUUACAACAAAUGUUAUACUGGAUCAUCAGAAAAACUCCUGAAGGAAAGCCUGUCAAAGAUGCUUACAUUUUCUUUGUUGCUAUAGCAUUACUAGUUGUUGCAAUAGUUGGUGAAAAUGUUGGACUUCAAUACAUGUAUGGUCCUUUUAUACUAGGCUUGACAGUACCAACAGGACAUCCCUUAGCUUCAACUCUGAUAGAAAAACUAGACACUAUUGUAUCAGGUUGGAUGCUGCCACUUAUGUCGACUUAUUGCGGAUACCGAUCAAAUCUAUGGAACCUCAACAGACUACCUCCUUAUUGGAUAAUAUUCGCAGUAACUUUCGGUUUUUUUCUGAAAGUAGCCUGUGGGUUCAUUCCUGCAUUUUGUUUCAAAGUGCCUUGUAAGGAUGCUACAGCAUUGGCAUUGAUGUUGGCUGCCAAAGGCAUUGUUGAAUUAGGUACUUUUGCAACCAAUGCAGACAAGCAGGUACUCCCUUCUAGGAAUUGUUUUAAAGCACUUUUUUUCCUUUUUCUUUUUUUGUAAUUUUCUUUUUGCUGAUAAGCCAAUGCUGUUUUGUUUCAGUCCACCGUUACUCAAGAAUUCACCUGGGCUGUAAUAAUUGUAUUCAUUUUCGCAGCACUUGUGCCGAUACUUACCAGAAAGCUUUAUGAUCCAUCAAAGACAUACGCAGGUUACCAGAAAAGAACCGUGUUGGACUCUUCCAUAAACGAGGGUGUCCGAAUGCUAGCCUGUGCUCAUAGACAAGAUGAUGCAUUGUCUGCGAUCAAGUUACUUCAACUUUCAAAUCCUAGUACCGGAAGUCCCUUGUCGGUUUACGGGCUUUACUUGGAAGAACUAGUGGGUGGAGCGAGUCCUCUCCUUCUUAAUCAUCAAUUAGGCCAAAGGAGUCCUAGCGAUGGCGGUCGUUGGCAACCAAUCAUCGAUGUUUUCAAUUACUUUAAGACCCAAAGUAGUAAACCAACUCAAGUGCACGUCUACACAGCAAUAUCACCUUCCUCAUUGAUGCAUGAAGACGUUUGUUGGGUUGCCUUUGAUAAUUUAGUAGCUUUAAUAAUACUUCCAUUUCAUAGGAAAUGGAACAGGAAAGGGAAACUAAUCUCUGAUUCCAAAGAUUUGAGGGACUUCAAUACUGAUGAAGUUGGUUCAGCAUGCAGCAAACUCGACAGCAUGCAGGCCAUCAAGACCAAGUCAUGCAGGAGCUGCUGGAACGAGCUGAACUAUUCCUAUUUUGUUCAACUUGUAAUCUUAAGUUAAUGUAAUGUACUUUAGUUCAUUUAGAACUAUGUUAGGUUUAUGAUUGAUGUAUUUUGAUGACAAUUAAGCUGUUAAGUCAGCUUUGUUUAAGUGUGCAAGCUUAGUUUUUCAAGUUUUAAUGUAUUAGUGGUAGUAGGUGAUGAUUAGGUAUCAUUAUGCAGAUUUUGACAAGCAAAUUGCUUGGUUUUAUGUAUUGGCAUUAUGCCAUUGUUCAACCAAUGAAUGAAAUCAGUUUUUUGUUCAUCAAUUUUCCUCUCCAUUUUCUUAGCUUUUUCUUUCUUUCUUCUGGCUUGAAUUCUCUUGUUUGCUCAGCAAGUCUCGAGACUUGGUUGACAAGAUAUUGCUGAGUCUGCUUGAUUCUAUUGUUGCACCAACAAUUGGUAUCUAGAGCCUAUUUCUUAAGGGAUCUGUUACUCAAUUCCAUGGCUUCAUCAAGCUUUUCACCAGCUGCACCUCAAGUCUUCAAUGGAGAAGGCUAUCACAUAUGGGUGGUCAAAAUGAAGACCUACCUGCAGGCUUUCGAUCUGUGGGAGGUGGUCAACUUUGAUGUUGAACCAGAGCCACUUAGAGCUAAUCCAACAGUGGCUCAAAUCAGGCAGCAUGCUGAUGAAAGGACCAAGAGGCACAAAGCUAUGUCUUGCAUCCAAAACUCAGUGUCUGAUGUGAUUUUCACAAGGAUUAUGGCCUGUGAAUCACCAAAACAGGCCUGGGAUAAGUUGCAGGAAGAGUUUCAAGGGACAGAGAGGACAAGGCAGCAACAGUUGUUAAACUUGAGGAGAGAUUUCGAGAAUUUGAAGAUGAAGGAAGAAGAAACUGUCAAGCAAUAUUCUGACAGGAUUAUGGCUGUGGUUAACAGCAUCAGGCUCCUUGGAGAGCAGUUCAAUGAAGCUAGAAUAGUGGAGAAGGUUAUAGCAACUCUGCCUGAGAGGUAUGAGGCAAAAAUCUCAUCUCUCGAGGACUCAAGGGAUCUGUCCACCAUCUCCCUGACAGAGUUGAUCAAUGCUCUAUAUGCUCAAGAGCAGAGGAGAGCAAGCAGACUGGAGGAGCACCAAGAAGGUGCCUUUCAGGCAAGAGCAAAUACUGCCUACAAAGGCAAGAAGGCCUGGAGAGACAAGCCAAAGAAUGAUGCUGCAAGGAGAGAAGGUCAGACUUGCAAGCACUGUAGAAAGGCUGGUCAUUCAGAAGAAAAAUGCUGGUUCAAUCCAGAUGCUGUGUGUCAGCAUUGUAAGAAGAAGGGUCAUGUUGAGAGAGUCUGCAAGAGUAAGACCAAAUCGAGGCAGAAUCAGUUUCAACAGAUGAAAGCUGAGGCUCGAGUAGCUAAGGAGGAUAGUGACCAAGAGGAGCAAGUCUUUGCUGUUUCAUGCUCAGCUGCUCAGGAAAGGUCCUCAUCUGGUUGGCUUCUAGACAGUGGAUGCACCAACCACAUGACACCUGAUGCUGCAAUCUUCAAGUCUUUAGACAGAAGCUGCAGAACUAAAGUCAAGAUAGGAAAUGGUCAUUUUAUUCAAGCUGAAGGCAAGGGUGAUGUGCUGAUAUGCACCCUUACAGGUACCAAAGUGAUUUCAAAUGUGCUGUUGGUGCCUGAAAUUGACAGAAACCUGCUCAGCAUAGCUCAGUUGCUGGAAAAAGGUUAUUCAGUUGUGUUUAAAGACCACCAGUGCCAAAUCAGUGAUCCAAGUGGAUCCAAACUGAUGGCAGUCCCUAUGGCUGAUAAGAACUUUGUGGUUGACUGGACAAAAAAGUCAGACAUUGCCUAUACAGCCACUUCAGAUGAAUCCAAGCUGUGGCAUCAAAGAUUGGGACAUGCCAACUUCAGAUCGAUGGCUCGAAUGGUCAGAGAGGACCUGGCUGAAAAUUUCAUCAACUCAGUGGACCAUGAUGAUGUAUGUGAUGUAUGUCAGCUAGGAAAGCAGGCCAGACUCCCAUUUCCCUCGAAUCAAGCCUGGAGAGCCUCUGAAAAACUCCAACUGGUGCAUACUGAUGUGUGUGGCCCUAUGAAGACUGAGUCAUUAAGUGGAAACAGGUAUUUCAUACUGUUCAUUGAUGAUUUCUCGAGAUAUUGCUGGAUUUACUUUUUAAAACAGAAAUCAGAAGUGGCCUCAGUGUUUUGGAAGUUCAAGACUGCUUCUGAGACUGAAACAGGCUGCAAGCUGAAGACCAUAAGGUCUGAUAAUGGGACUGAGUACACCUCAGCUCAGUUCCAAGCCUUCUGUGAUAAGGCAGGCAUCAAACAUCAACUUACCAACACAUAUACACCUCAGCAGAAUGGGGUAAGUGAAAGGAAGAAUAGGAGUUUGAUGGAUAUGGCCAGGUGCUUGAUGAUUCAGAAAAAUCUGCCUAAAGCACUAUGGGCAGAAGCAGUUAACACUGCAACAUACAUUCAAAAUAGACUUCCAACCAAGGCUUUGGAUCAAAAGACCCCAUUCGAGGCCUGGUUUAGCUUCAAGCCAUCAUUGGCUCAUCUGAAGGUCUUUGGAUGCAUCUGUUAUGCACAUGUACCUGCUGUUAAAAGGGACAAAUUGUCUGAAAGGGCUCGACCUGGUGUUUUAGUGGGGUAUAGCACUGUUAAGAAGGGCUAUAGGAUUUUAGAUCCUUCAACAAACAAAGUGUCAAUAAGCAGGGAUGUGGUAUUUGAUGAGAGGUCAUGUUGGAACUGGGAAAGACAUGAACCUGAAGAAGUUUCUGAAGAACUUGCAGUAGACCAAGGUGAGCCAGACCAAAAUGUCCCUGAAAUGGAUAUUGAUGAUGAACCAGUCAGAGGAACAAGGUCAUUGGCUGAGGUUUAUGAAAGGGCUCAUGUAGCCAUAGCUGAACCAAGCAACUUUGAAGAGGCUGAGGCUCAACAAGGGUGGAAGCAGGCAAUGGCUGAGGAGAUCAGCAUGAUUGAGAAGAACCAGACCUGGAAAUUGGUUGAAAGGCCAGUCAAAAGGAAGGUGAUUGGGGUGAAAUGGGUGUACAAAGCCAAGCAGAAUGCUGAUGGUACCUUGAACAAGCUAAAAGCAAGGCUAGUGGUCAAGGGGUUCAGUCAAAGGUAUGGCUUGGACUAUUUGGAGACCUUUGCACCAGUGGCCAGGCUCGACACCAUCAGACUGCUGAUUGCCUUAGCAGCACAGCUCGAAUGGAAGAUUCAUCAACUUGAUGUGAAAUCAGCCUUUCUGAAUGGUUUCUUAGAUGAAGACAUCUAUGUUGAACAACCACAAGGGUUUGAAAUAGCUGGCAGAGAGCAUAUGGUCUACAAAUUGAAGAAGGCCCUAUAUGGCUUAAAACAGGCUCCAAGGGCCUGGUACAGCAGAAUCGAUGGCUACUUGACUGAUCUGGGAUUCAAUCGAAGCAAGAGUGAGCCAACAUUGUAUGUCAAGAAGCAAGGGACACAAACACAACUCAUUGUGUCCCUAUAUGUUGAUGACCUGCUGGUGACAGGAGGAGAUCAAGCAGUGCUGGUUAAUUUCAAGACCAAGAUGCAAGAGGUGUUUGAAAUGUCUGAUCUUGGGGAGAUGUCCUAUUUUCUUGGAAUGGAGGUGACUCAAGCACAGAAUGGGAUAUUUUUAAGUCAGAAGAGCUUUGCCACAAAGAUUCUGACCAAGUUCUCCAUGCAAAACAGCAAACCAACUAAAACACCUGUUGCUGUUGGAGAAAAACUAUCGAGCCAAGGAGAUUUUGAGAAGGUAUGUGAAACUACCUACAGGAGUCUAGUUGGUUGUUUGCUAUACUUGACUGCCACUAGACCAGACAUAAUGUAUGCUGUAGGAUUGCUCUCAAGGUUCUUGCAUUGUUGCAAUGAGAAGCAUUUCCAGGCUGCCAAGAGAGUGCUCAGAUAUGUCAAAGGCACUUUGGACUAUGGCUUAAGGUACAGCAGGAAAGGAAAUCUAAAUUUAGUUGGGUACACUGAUAGUGACUGGGCUGGAUCGAUAGAUGACAUGAAAAGCACCUCAGGGUAUGCUUUUAGACUUGGUUCAGCCAUGUUCUGCUGGAGCUCGAAGAAGCAAAGUCUGGUGGCACAAUCUACUGCUGAAGCAGAAUAUGUGGCAGCAGCAAGUGCUGUCAACCAAGCCAUUUGGCUUAGGAAAAUCCUGACUGAUUUGAAUAUGGAUCAAAUGGAAGCAACAGAGAUCUUCUGUGACAAUCAAUCUGCAGUAGCAAUUGCUAAAAAUCCAGUGUUCCAUGGAAGAACAAAACAUUUCAGCAUCAAGUUGCAUGUUGUUCGAGAAAUGGAGCAAGCUCAGGAAGUAAAGCUGAUCCACUGUAAUUCAGAGGAUCAACUUGCUGACAUUUUAACCAAAGCUCUUAGUGUCACAAGGUUUGAAUAUCUAAGAAAGAUGCUAGGUGUUUGCUCCAUGCAAACCAAGGAGGAGUGAUGAAGUUGGUUCAGCAUGCAGCAAACUCGACAGCAUGCAGGCCAUCAAGACCAAGUCAUGCAGGAGCUGCUGGAACGAGCUGAACUAUUCCUAUUUUGUUCAACUUGUAAUCUUAAGUUAAUGUAAUGUACUUUAGUUCAUUUAGAACUAUGUUAGGUUUAUGAUUGAUGUAUUUUGAUGACAAUUAAGCUGUUAAGUCAGCUUUGUUUAAGUGUGCAAGCUUAGUUUUUCAAGUUUCAAUGUAUUAGUGGUAGUAGGUGAUGAUUAGGUAUCAUUAUGCAGAUUUUGACAAGCAAAUUGCUUGGUUUUAUGUAUUGGCAUUAUGCCAUUGUUCAACCAAUGAAUGAAAUCAGUUUUUUGUUCAUCAAUUUUCCUCUCCAUUUUCUUAGCUUUUUCUUUUUUUCUUCUGGCUUGAAUUCUCUUGUUUGCUCAGCAAGUCUCGAGACUUGGUUGACAAGAUAUUGCUGAGUCUGCUUGAUUCUAUUGUUGCACCAACAAAUACUAAAGUGAUGAACAAGGCUCCUUGUUCAGUAGCCAUUCUAAUCGAUCGUGACCGAGGUCGUAAUUCAUCGAUCAUAGACGAAUCAUCCACAUAUAGUAUAUGUGUGGUUUUCUUGGGCGGGAAGGAUGACAGAGAAGCUCUUUCCAUUGCAAGAAGGAUGAAAGGAUGGCCUUCGGUUUUCCUAACUGUUAUUAGGUUAAAGGAAACUGAGGAUAUGAUCACAGGAUGGGAGGGUAUGAUGGAUGACGAAUGCUUGAGAGACAUUAAACACCCAAGCAAUGAAAAUGGUAAUGUUUUGUACAAGGAAGAGAUAGUAAGACAUGGAGCAGAUACAUCUGCACUCAUUGGGUCCAUAUUGGAUGAAAACUUUGAUCUUAUAUGUGUGGGACGACACGCACAAUGUGACUCACCACUCAUAGAAGGCUUAUCAGCAUGGACUGAUUUACCAGAGCUUGGGACCAUUGGGGACCUGUUAGUUUCUGCAGAGAUCAGUAAACCAAUAUCUAUCCUUGUGGUUCAACAACAGGUUAUUGAAAAAUGAGUGUAACUUUCACUCUUUUUUCUGCCAUACAAUGGAAGUGUUGCAUGCACCCUUUCAGGUCCUAAUGCAAAUAUCAUUGCUAUAAAUGCGCAACUAACCCAAAGUGAAUCCAUGAAAAUGCCAUUGGAUUGGGAUUGUAACAUUUAGCCCCUUGGUUUAUGGGGGGAUUUUUCCAUGUGCUAAUAUGCUCCAUAUACGACUCAAUAAACCCUAACAGAAAACUUGUAAGAAUUGUAGUAAUUUAUAUUAUCAUGGAAUCAGAGUUGCUUCAUUUCUGCCUUGUGGAACACCUGUUUUUAUCUACCAUUUCUUUCAAAUUCGAUAUUUUAUGGUAAUUUUGUUUGGAAAUGGAAAUUUUUUUAAUGUAGAAUUCUGAUUUGAAUUGAGCUCAGGGUAUAAUAUAAAUUUGCCUUAAAUAUGUUUUUGUAUAUAAAAUUUUAUAUUAGAUUAUAUAAAAAGUUUAGAAUUUUAUUUAAUACGCAUAUAAAAAUAUAUAAUAAAAAUUUCCCAUCACAUAGAUUAAAUAAAUUUUAUAAAAUAUUUUACUUGGUAUAUUUUUAUAUAUAAAUUUUAUACGAUUGUAUAAAAAAUUUAAAAUUUAUUCUACAUAGCUAAUAUCUUUAAAAAUCAUAUAUAAUUGUUUAAUAUUACACUACAAAAUAUAUAAUAAAAUUUCUCACACUUAUUUGGAAAAAUAAAUAUUUCAUAUAUAAAUAUUAUACUUAAAAAAUAAUGAUAUUUGAAAUAAUUAUUUUAUUUUAUAAUAUUAUAAUUUAUCAUACAAUGAAGAUGAAAAAAAUAAAUAUUUGACAUAUAAAAAUUAUAUAUAAGAAAACAUAUAUAUAAAAAAUUAGUUGAUGUUUUAAAAAUAAAAUAUAUUUAGCAUAUAUAUAUAGUGAAAAUACAUAUUUUCAUUAUAUAAUUACAUAUUUAUUAUUUUAUCUAUAUAAAUAAAAAAUAUUAAUUAAACACAUUAAUUAAAAAUUUAAAAAAACACUUAAAAACAACAGAAAAUGCUUGAAAGGAGAUUUGAACCCGAGCCACACAAAAAAAAAUGUCGACCAUGCAUUUAAUUAUUUCUCAAUGGCAUAUAAGAACAACACAUUUUGUAAAAAAGUUGUUUUUCAAAAGCAGCAAUCUAAUCAGCAAAAAUGACCUAUUUAUCUAAACAAUACGAAAAAAAGGGUUAAACUUCGAAUUUUUUAGGAGUAUCUAUUCAUAAUUUUGCCUAUUUACGCACACAAAAAAAAAACAUAAACUAUAGCAUAAACACCAUUUUUUUUGACAAAACAUUUUUUUUUAAAUUACAUGAGAUAUAUUGUAAUUGUACUUAUAUAAAAUUAUAACUAAAUUUGUAACAAUAUGCAGUGACAACUGAAUAAAACAAUAAAAAGUAAGAUGCAUUAGAAGAGAUAAAAGAUUGAUUACACAGUUCAGUUUAAUAACCUAUCGCUGUAUAAUCUUGCUGAGAGAAUGAACCCAUUAUACAAACUUUCAUAGUACAAUCUUCGAUAGCAAACUCAAUUAAUAACCUAAGUUUACCAAUGAUAGUUAUAAUAAAAUCGUACAACUUGUAUGCACUCAUCACCCUUAAACUACCAUUUGACAAAAGUAUAAAAAUCACUCUUUAAGAAAGUGAAAAUAUCAAAAUAAAUAACCUCUUAGUAUGUUUGAAAUGAACAAGAUAAUUUCACUAAUUCAGUGCAAUAAAAAAUAAAAGAAGCCAUCUUCCUUUUAAAAGCCAAUCAUAUCUUCAAAAUAAUUAAAUAUUAUCUUCAAUUUAAUUUCUCCACCUCUUAUUACAUUUUCAAUUCAAAUUUAAAGUCUUUCUAUAAUCCAAAAAAUUAUUUAUUAGAUAAAUUUAAUGAGUUAAAAAUUUUCUCAACCUAGGUAGAUGCUUCAAUAAGUCUACAAUCAUCAAAGCAAGCCAAGACAAACCAAGUAACCAAACCAUAACUAAAGUAGGCCAUGACAAGCCAUUUGCUGCAUCUAAAUCUCCCCUUUUGUCAAAAGUGUUCAAUAAUGAAAAACAAUAAUUGAGCUACUCUCCCUCUGUUUAAAAACAACGCAACAACCAAUUUUCGUGCAAGAACUAUCAAAGUUGACGUUGCAACAUCAAAUUCUUCAUCUCAAUUCACAAAUAUAAAGUUUGUCUCUCCUGUUGUAUUACUAAAAAUCAAUACAUGGAAGAAAUCACCGUAGAUACACCAAAAUAUAAGUAGAAAUAAAAAUAAGUUUAAGAAAAGAAAACCAACAAAAACAACCAAAAUUUAGAAACAUUAUAAUAGUAUUAUUACUCUAUUUUUUACUCCAUUGUUAUGCUUCCCCUUACUCUAUUCUUCCUUAUCAGUUUGUAUUUAUUUUGUUCAAUGAGAUGAGACGGAGUGCUGCAUCAUUAAUCUUGCAAACAAAAUUUCUUAACCCGUGGAACAAUAAGAAUCUCUUCCACAAAAAUUUAAUAGAGUUUUCAUGGUGGUCAAAAUAUUUUCAUGGUUAUCAAUAUAGAUAGUAGCUUUAUAUUUAACUGAACAUCAAUUUGUUGUUGAUCUUCAUAAUUGACAUAUGCUUGAACUUAUCUCACCCUUUCUCACCCAUAUCUGUUUAUGUUGACUACCACAUGUUCUACAAGAUAUGUGAUAGCUAUGGAGCCACCUCAUCUUAAAUCAUUCCACAUUUUAUAGCAACAUGGUCUAAUAUGGCCAAUAAUAACAUAAUAAAGACGAAUAAUAUUUGGUACACUGUCAGUGGAGAUUUUAGACUCCACGAGUAGGGUCAAGGGACCAGUAUACCAAAUACUAACCCAAUAAUGAUAUACAUGUUUUUUUUUCUUCUUUUUACUUAAUUUUUAAAGGGAGGAUCAAAAGAUUUGUUAGCCUUAACAAAAGUAGUGGGAGAUAUAGAUUUCUCCCAAUGUCAAUGUAACUCAAUCCCUUCUGACUAGUCUUAGAUCUAUUAGCACUCAAAAUAUAUCAUCAAGCUUCUCACUUUGAGUGCUAAGCUUUUUGAGAAUUUCUUUUGCAACACUCAACCCCUCUUCAACAACAUUUAACUUUGCUUCUUUUUGUGUAAGAAUAUCAUACUUUUUUUAGAUGUAAGAAUAAGCUUUUGGAUUUUCUUAAUACUGCCUAUAUUGUCUUUCAAUGCUUUAAUAAUUCAAUUGAGAUACCAUAUCCCAACUUUUCCUUCACAGCCUUAUUGGAUUCUUUUGUGCUUCCAAAAGGACCAUUAAUGUAAUUUUCAGAUUUUGUUUUGUUGAUGUUACAUAAGCAAGUGCAACAGUGGAUUCGAUAGUGGCUGUAAAAGCCACAUAAUUUAUUUUUAGAUCAUUAUUGACAAUUGCUUCACUCUUUUGAUUCAUCACUCCAAAUCACAACUAAAGAUGUAUGUUUAUUCUUAAGAGUGUUUUCACACUUAAAUUGGAUAUGAUUGAAACCUUUGCACUCACAACAUUGAAUAAUGCCUUUAGGACAAGAUUCUUUGUCUUUAAUGAGAGCUUUCCUUUUUUUACGGCUGACAUUUUUCCUAACUUUUUAAAUAUUUCCUUUCUUGGAGAAUUUUCUCACAAAUCUGUUAAUGUUAUUUGAUGGGAGUGCCAUCUUUUCUUCGAAUCUUUUAUAGAGGUGGUCCUCAAAACAUUGUUGUAACACUUGAGUUGACAUUGAAGGCAAUACUUCUUUCAAGUUUUACCCUUACGUUCAACUAGUUUUAUAGUAGUUAUUUCUUUAGCUUCCUCGAUAGUAGUAACUUUGAUUGCAGACCUUUUUGGCAAUGAUCGAAGCAUCUUUUGCAUCAAUUUUAACCCAGAUAAACGUUUACCAAGACAUAAGGCUUUGUUAGAAAUCUCACAUAAAUGAGAAUAAUAAUUAAAAAUAGUUUCUUCUUCAUUCAUUCCUAAAUUAGAAAUCUUGCACACAAUACUGGCUGUUGAAGCUGAGCUUGGGAAAAUGGAACAUAAACGUGCAAAAUAAUAAGAAACAACAAGAAAUCUCACAUAAACAAACAUGAUAAUUAGAGAAGAUAUUUCUGAUGGAUAUACUAAGGACGAUAAGCCAUCACUAGACGCUGUUGCAAUUGUCUCAACAUUUACCAAGUCAAUUACUACUGCUUAAGCUAGACUCAUGGAACAUUUGAAAGAAGCUGAUCUGUCUUAACAAAAGCACCUAGUAUCAUGAGAAUCAAGUGAAGAUACUUCAACUAUAGAGGAUUAGAGAUCGACAUAAGUUGUACCUUAUUGCUCAACAAUAGUAAAUGCCUUUGGCACUUUGGAAUAAGAAAAAGAGAACGAGCUCAUGGGAGAUUAUUAACUGGGGUUGAUUACUUGUGGUUGCUGAACUUGAAUUGAAGCUGAUUUUAUAACUUUUUUUGGGGGAAUUUUUUGAUGAUGAUAUAGUGAUGAUUUUUGGACUUAUAUGUGAUGGUGCUUAGUUUUUUACUUAAUAUUUCCCCAAUUUUACUAUGAUACUCUUAAUACCUUGUGUUUUAAUUGUUAAAUGCUUUUGAUAUAUUGAAUUAAUAGUUGAUCCAUCUUUUAAAUUCAUAGUUGAGUGUAUGAUAUAAUGAUCCGAAAUUUACGGUUAUCAGAAAUUAUAUUUUUGGGUCUCCGUUUUUGUAAAACGAAUUCGUAAAUAUUUAUUAAAAAUAUUUACGAAGUUAGUUGUGUAGUUAAUUAGGUUUUGGUUAGCUGAGUUUGUCUAAAUUAAGAGUAAUUAGGUAUAAGGACUAAAUUGCAUAUAGAGUAAAGGUUGAAUUAUAGAAUAGAAAAAAGCUAAGGGACUAAAUAAGUAAGUAAACCAAAUUGUGACAAUUGUAUGGUAAUGGUAAUAUACCUGUGUAAUAAAUACAUACAUAUAUUAGUAAUAUACAUAUAUACUUACUUGUUAUUUAAGAAAAUAUUAUUAUAUUAUAUUAUUAUAAUUAAAACAAAUAAAUAAUGAAACAUAAAAGAAAAAGAAAAAGAAAGAACAGAUUUGGGAACGAAACAGGGGAAAGAAAGAAGAAAAAGAAAGAAAGAAAAAUAAAGAGAAAAAUUAGGGUUUCAAGGGUUCAAACUCAAAUUGGUAAGUUAAUUUAGUCCAUUUUCUUAAGAAUUUUAUGUUUUUAGAAUCCUAGAACAAAAUACUACUUGAUUUAUGUCGAAAUUUUAGAAGUUAGUGGAUUUUUAGAAGUUGUUCAUGUUAAAUAAAUUGAAGUUUUAGGGGUUAAAUUGAUAGAAUUUCAAGCUAGAAGUGAAAAAUGAAUUGAAUUGUAAAAUAAAUCAUAAGUUUUGAGUAAUAGGGACUAAAUUGAGAGAAUUUAAAAAUUAGGAUUUAUGGUGAAAUUUAAAAUUUGAAAUUAGUCUAAAGUGAGAUUUGAAUGAAAAUAUGAAAUGAGUUUAAAUAAAAUAAAGUUAGUCUAGAUUAGGGACUAAAUUGAAAAUGUGAGCAAAGGUUGAGUAUAAAUUGAAAUAUUCAAUAUGAAAUUGUAGUGUAUUGAUAAAUUUUAAUUGUUUCUAUUUCCGUAGCUAACGUUGAGCUGGAGACCUCGGCUAGGAAAGGAAAAGACAAGGUUAACGAUGAAUAGCUUGGGAAUUACGGUUUGUAUUUCUAUAAUCCGAAUUUAAUUAUUAAUUGUUAUAUUUUAAAUUUAAAUGUUUAUGGUAAGUAAUUAAGGUGAGUAUUAGUAUUUUGAUAUUGAAUUGAAUUUAUAUGCAUAUGUGAUUUAUGUGGAAAUUGAAUAUUGGAUAUAUGUUGUACUUGAAAAGCGAUGUGAAACCCUAUUAACUUUAUCGGGCUGAGUCAAAUAUAGUUGGCAUGCCGUAGGAUUAGAAGCGUUCAGGGAUUACUUCAACUUCGAGUCAAUGAGACACUGGGUGUCAUACUAUUACUUCGGAUAAAUUCGAUGAGGUACUAGGUACCAACUUACUUCGGCAUGGCCGAUGAGAUAUUGGGUGUCAAUCUAUUACUUCGAAUUAUCCGAUGAGGCACUGGGUGCCAAAUUGGUGUGUUUUUGUUGGAUCCGUAUAUCCGUCCGAGUCCGAGUCGUGUUAAUAGGGGUAAAUAAAUGAAUUAUCAAUAUGAAUGAUAUUGAAUGAUUUUGAAUAUGAAUUGGAAUGGGAUAUUGAAUUGAGAUAUAAAAAUAAAAUGUAUGAACCAUAGGUUAAUGGAAUGGUUAUUGAUAUAGUUCAUGAAAUAGUUAUUGAUAUAAUGAGAUGAUAUGUGUAUUCUAUUAAGAAAAACUAUUUGAAUAGCAAUUAUGAGAUUGAAAUAGUAAAAGAUGAGAAUUGAAAGUAUUAUGAAUGAUGUGUUUAUGAAAUUGAUUAUCUAUUUGAAUGAUUUCUGUUAUGUGUGUUUAGAUAUAUAUAUUAUAAUUUCUUGCUUAAUAAGUAUUCGGAUUAUAAAAAUACCACUGAGUUUAUACCCAGCGCACGUUUUGUUUUAAUGCGCAAGUUAGGUAUAACACCCCAAACCCGGCCAAGACGAUAUGGCCACAUUCGGAAGUGUCACAUUGUAAGGGUUUUGAAAACGGAGUUGUCACGUCAGAAUAUUCAUGUUUUUACUUGAAAACACCAUCUAAUUAAUCCAUUUGCCAAAACUUAUUACAGUGGAAGCCUUAAAAUAGUUGUAUUAUGAAAAUGCAGUCGUGUUUUGGAAAAACCUUUGUUUGCGUAUAGAUUGUCAUUUUUAGAGAAAAACGUUUUGCUUAAGCAUGCAUUAGCAACAUAUAAAUCCAAAACCAACAGUUAUAAAACCAUAAAGUUCAGAGAGUCCUAGAAAUUAUAAACUCUAAAAAAUAAUCCAAAAAUCAUAAACAAACCACAAAUAAUCAAGUUUUAAUAGUUUUACGGAUGAGUGGUCACCACAGAGUCUCUGCCGCACGAUCCGCCUAAGUCUGUGGAUUACCUAACAAAACAGAUAACAGAUGUGAGUUUGUGAAAACUCAGUGUGUAACUCAAUAGAAAUAAGCAUACAAACAUACAAAACUAUAUGCACAGUCAGAUACAAAUACAUAUAUGCAAAAUCCUACCCUCAUCCUCUACACACCAUCUCCGACCAUCCCAUCACACCAUGUGGGUUUAAAACACGCACCCAGCCCUACACACCGCGUUGUGCCUUUAAGACACAUAUUAGAAUAUAUGCAGCCAAACUGCCAGAAAAUAGGCGAUUAAUGCCAAACAGAAUAUUUCCUCCAUACAUAAAAAUCUCACCCCAAUAACAGAUACAGAAAUCAGAUACAGAAUAUCAAAUUAAUAUGCUCAACAUGCUUUUAGACGAAUACCGAGUUAAUCAAACAUGCAUAGUAUUUUCACAUUCAGAGCAGAAUAUCAGACUAUCAGAUUCAUAGUUUUAAGGUUUGGUUAGCCCUUACCGACCCUACAGUAGGCCCACAGUUGAUCAGAGCGACCUGUGUGACCCUAGGAAAAAUUUUAAAAUUAUGGGCCCAUACACCUGUGUGGCCCACACUCCCAGGUCAGCCUUUGCCCGUGUGGCCCACACGGCCUAGCCUAAAAUCCACAUGCCUGUAUGAGCCCACACACCCAUGUGGCCUACACGCCUAACUUGGUCAUGCCGUAUAGCCAACAAGGCCACAUCCGAGCCACCACACGGUCGUGUGCUGCGCACGGCCAUGCCUUCGUCGACCAAACGACAGUAUCUAGCACACGACCAUCCACACGGGUGGCCACACACCUGUGUGGUGUCGACAGUGAAGUUUUUCAGCUUUCGUCGAAACUUGAUUUUUCGCGUUUUGGGAACACACCUAUUACAGUUUUGAUGCAAAACCAGCCUUGGAACCACCAGAACCUAAAAUCAACAAACCAAAACCCUAAACUCAGUCUUAAAACACAAUAAUCCAAAACCACAAUACCAAAAACUCGAUUCAAGCACUCAACACUUACCCCCAAACCUCGAACGCCUUUAACUACAAAUUCGAAAGAGAAGAGUCCCGUUCUUCGAGAAUUGUGCUGCCAAAACAGAAUAAUAAGGCUCCAAUCGGUAAUUUUGAAUACGAAAUACGUAAACACAAAAACCCCACUUACCGAACAAUUGACAGAAAGUAAAACAACGUGAUACAAAGAUUCGUUGACUGGUCAAAAUUAGAUAAAUGAAAGUAUCAGUAGAUGAAGAACAAAAAGGUAGAGCAAAGCAAGAUAAAAAAUGUCAAUUUUUUUCUUCCUGGAAAAAGGGAGGAAUUCCGAAAAACAAGAAAGAAUAAAAAUAAAAAUAAAAUCCAAAUCCCCCAAAUUCCUCCCCACUAUCCCACUAACAACCACUACUUAGAAUCUCAUCUCUACCGAAACUCUCUCCCAAGCAACUGAGUAAAAAUUAAUACCCAUGCUUACGUCAAGAUUUGAAGACAGGACCUCCAACACACUGACCCCCUUACCACUCGAACUAGUAGGCUCAGUUUGAUAUGGAUUUACAAGCAAUUUAAUAUAAGCCCACUGAAUAAAGGUAAGGCUUAAAUCCAAAAAUAACCUAAAUUUGCCAAAGGUAAGACUUGAACCCAAGACCUCACACACACCCAGAACACUUAACCACUGAAGCAGAGACAUAUUUGUGUUAGAUUUUAUAGGAGCAUAAAUAAGUUAUUUGGAGUGUUACAAUUCUAUCCCGUAAAAGAAAUUUUGACCUCGAAAUUUACCUGAUCAGAACAUAUGAGGAUACUGCAGACGCAUUGAGUCCUUAGAUUCCCACGUGCCCUCCUCAGCACUAUGAUUCCGCCACCGAACCUUCACUAAAGGAAUGGACUUUCUUAUCAGAACUUUAACAUCUCGAUCUAGAAUCUGAACCGGCUCCUCCUCAAAAGUCAAGUCUGGUCUAACCUCGAUCUCCUCAACUGAGACAACGUGAGAUGGAUCAGAUUGAUACCACCUCAACAUCGAUACAUGAAAGACAUCAUGAAUAUGAUCCAACUCUGGAGGUAACUCCAACUGAUAAGCAACCGGUCCCACACGUUUCAGAAUCUGGUACGACUCAAUAAACCUAAGGCUCAACUUGCCCGUACGACCGAAUCUCAGAAUUUUCUUCCAUGGAAAAAUCUUAAGAAACACGAAGUCCCCCACAAAAUACUCAACAUCUCUCCUCUUCAGAUCUGCAUAAGACUUCUGCUUAUCAGAAGCCGCCUUUCGACGAUCCCGAAUCAGCCUAACCUUGUCUUCGGUAUCAAAAACCAACUCUGGACCCAAAACCCGAUACUCACCCAACUCAGUCCAACAUAGCGGGGUAUGACACUUACACCAUACAAAGCCUCGUAAGGUGCCAUCUGGAUGCUAGACUGGAAACUGUUAUUAUAGCCGAACUCAGCUAGCGGCAGAUAAUCCUAUCAACUACCUUGGAAAUCUAUCACACAGCUCUAAAGCAUAACAUCCAGUAUCUGAAUCACCCUCUCAGAUUGAUCAUCGGUCUAAGGAUGGAACGUAGUAUUGAAGUCUAAUAUCGAACUUAGGGCCUCAUGCAACUUCUUCUAGAACUGAGACGUGAACUGAUGAUCUCUAUUAGAAAUGAUCGAAAUAGGAACCCCAUGCAGUUUCACAAUCUAAAAAAUGUAGAGCUUUGCUAAGUUCUACAGAGAAUAGCCCAUCCGAACCGGAAUAAAGUGAGCAGACUUGGUCAAUCGAUCCAUGAUGACCCAAACAGAAUCAUUCUUAGUGGGUGUCAAGGACAACCCACUAAUAAAGUCCAUCAUCACUCGUUCCCAUUUCCAUAAGGGAAUAUUAACUGGCCGCAACAAACUCGAAGGCAAUUGGUGCUCAGCCUUAACUUGCUGGCACGUCAGAUAUCGAGCCACAAAAUUUGUAACCUCACGCUUCAAUCUUGGCUACUAGUACAACUCACAGAGAUCGCGGUACAUUUUAUUACCACCGAGAUACAUAGCAUAAGGGCUACUAUGCGCCUCCCUCAGAAUUGACUGCUUCAAAUCAGAAUCAUUCGGUACACAGAUCCAUUCUUGAAAACAUAACACACUCUCAUUGUUCAACCCAAAAUCUGAAGUAUUGCCACUCUCAACCUGAUGAAACUCCAAACCUAGAUACUCAUCCCCCAAUUGCUUAACUCGAAUCUAAUCAUUCCAAGUCAGCUUAACUUGCAACUCAGCUAACAGACUCCCAUCGUCAAACAAGCUAGGGCAAGCGAACAUCGCCCCCAGAUCAGUUAUUGCUUUAUGACUUAGAGCAUUAGCCACUACAUUGGCCUUACCAGGAUGGUACUCAAUCGUGUAGUCGUAAUCCUUGAGCAACUCAACCCAUUGGCGAUGCUUGAGAUUUAACUCCUUCUGAGUAAGAAAGUACUUGAGGCUUUUAUAAUCCGUGUAAAUGAUGUACCUCUCACCAUACAGAUAGUGCCUACAGAUUUUUAACGCAAAGACCACAGUAGCGUAAAGUUAUUUUUUACUUAGAAUAUACAGUACCACUCUAAGAUGCUCAUCCUCGGUCUUAGAGUGUACCAGAAUAUCGUCGAUAAAUACCAUGACAAACUGAUCCAAAUAUGGCUGGAAGACUCAGUUCAUCAAAUUCAUGAAUGUUGCCGGAACAUUCGUCAGACCAAAAAGCAUCACUAGGAGCACGUAAUGUCCACAACGAGUCCUAGAUGCAGCCUUAUGAACAUCCACUUCCUUAACCCUCAACUGGUGGUAGCCAAACGAAGAUACAUUUUAGAGAACACUGAAGCCCCUCAAGUCAUUGAUCCUUGAAAGCGAAUACUUAUUCUUCAUAGUCAACAUGUUCAAUUAUUGAUAAUUGAUGCACAUCGUCAUGGUCCCAUCAUUCUUCUUAACAAACAUAACUGGUACUCCCCAUAGAGGCAUAUUAGGACGAAUGAAACCACGAUCCAGAAGCUCUUGCAGUUGAGCUUUAUGUUCUAUAAGCUCCUUCGGUGCCAUACGAUAUGGGGCGAUAGACAUCGGAGCUGCACCCAGUAGAAGCUUAAUUCUAAACUCGACUUAUCGAUUCGAAGGUAAACUUGGUAACUCCCCAAGAAAGACAUCUGGAAAGUCCCUCACUGUUCUAAUAUCCCCAACAGAAGAAUCCCCAGAAUAAAAAAUACUGAAGUAAGCCAAGUACGCUUCACACCCUUUCUGAACCAGUUUCUCAACCACAAGAGUGGAGAUCACAUUGGACAAAUAAUCUCGAAGCUUACCAAUCACAACCACCUCCAAAUCAUCCUUGGUCUUCAGAAUGACCCUCUUAGUUGUGCAGUCUAAACUGACUCAGUGCUCAACCAACCAGUCCAUCCCCAUAAUUAAAUCUAACUCCCCAAACGAAAGCUCUAUCAGAUUAGCUCGAAAGACAACUCCUUGAACCACUAAAUUGAAAGAAAUUUUAAAUUAAGGUUUUGUUAUGAAUAUUAGAUAAAUAAGUUGAAUAUGGAAGGAAUUUGAAUAGAAACAAAGUAUGAUUUGAGUUAAGAAAAUAAGUAAGUUUAGUUAGAAUUAAAUUGAAAGUGGGAUAUAAAUUGAAUAGAAUUUAAUUAUUUAUUUUAAACUAGUGUUGUAAUUAAUAGUAUAAAUUAUUUUAAUUUUUGGUAGCUAAUAAAGAAUCCAAGACGUCAACAUAAAAGGGGAAGGAAAAGAUAGUCGAGGAGUAGCUCGAGAAAAUUUACAGUUUGUAUUACUAUAACUCAAACUAUUAUUUAUUAAAUGUUAUAUUUAAAUUUAUAUGUAAGGUAAGUACCUUAUAAGGUAAGUAUUAAUAUUUGAAAUGAAGUAUGGAUAAGUAUGAGUAUUGAAUUACAUGUGGAUUGAGAUUAAAAGUAUAUUGAAUUGAUUGUAUAUUGAAAUGGAAUUGAAAUUGAUAUGGAAAUGAAAUUGAAAUAAAAAAAAAGUAAAAGAAUACCCUAUUAACUAGUCGGACUGUGUCAUAUAUAAUUGGCAUGCCAUAAGAUUUUGAGAAGGGAUUUGGAGAUGUGAUUUGGAUAUGCUGAUAUUUAUAUCCUUCGGAUUUAUCUGAAGAGGCACUCUGUGCUAUUCUGGUGUGUUUUAGAUGGAUUAUAUUAUUCUGGUGUGUUUAGGAGGAUUAUAUGAUACUGGUGUAUUUUGGAAGAUUAUACUAGUGUGUUUUGGUUGGACAUUUCUGGUGUGUUUGGAUGGAAUCCGUGUAUCUGUCAAAGUUUGAUUUAUGUUAAUAGGAUGACAAAUGAAAUGAGUAAAUUGAAUGAAUUUGAUUAUUUGAAUGGUUGAAAAUAUGAGAAGGAGGUAUAAGUUGAUUUAUGUGAUAUGAUAAUAUGUAAUUAAAGCUUAUGAAUUGAUGGAAGAACAGAUUGUAAAAAUGUAAUAUUGUUGAUGAAAUGAUAUAAUUGUUAUAUGAUAUUAAAUAGAAAUUAAUCUUUAAGAUUUAUAAUGUUUAUAAUAAAUACAAUUUAAAUUAUUUGAAUUAUAUAGUUUGAGUUAUGGUAAUAGCACUGAGUAUAAAAUACUCAGCGUAUGGUUGUUUUCGUGCGCAGGUCAAUAGAAGUCCAGAGUCUAGGUUCAGCAUCCAAAUGAUCCCGACUUCAACGUAAAAUUUUUGGUGAUGUUUUCUUCCUUAAAUGAAAAUGGCAUGUACAUAGGUAUUAUAAUGGUUAUUUUGGUAUGUUAUAUAAUUAUGUUGUAAAUAGAAGUAUUUGGUGUUUUGAUGUUUUAAACUAGUGAAAUGGUAGAAAAUUGUUUAUGGUAUUAGUUUGAAUUAAACUGGUUUGAAUGAUUUUAUGAAUUAAUUAGAAAUGAUAAUUAAGUUAUCAAGUCAAUAUGUUAAGUAUAAUUUAGGUAUACUUGAGUAUGUAAAUGCAUUGGUUGAAUUACUGAAAUUGGUAUUGGUUGCUGAUUGAAAAUUUACAAGGAAGGUUAGAUAUUUAUAAAGGGGAUAUAUUGAGUUUUUUUUUAAAAAAUUACAAAAAAAUUUCAGAGUACUUGAAAAAGUCCCGUUCCAUUUUUACUAUGCGAUUUGGGCCUCGAGGGUCCAUUAAAGGGACUUUAUGAUUUAAUUUUAAUAUGUUUGUUAUGUAUUUAUGAAUUGUACAUAAAUUGAUCAAUAUGUUCAGAUACAGUACUAGUUACGUAGGAGUGUAUGGAACCUAUGUCCAUUAGAGUUGUAUAAGGUACAUCAAAUAUAAGGAACAUACCAGUGAUAACAUCUGGAGCAUCUCUAUCCUCUCGGCAUCGUGCAACAUAAACCAGUGCAGGCUGACUCGCCUCAGUUUGACCAGCACCUUUGCCCGGUGCUCUCUGCCCACGACCUAUACCAUUACCACCUCUAGCCUACCCAUGACCCCUAGGUGGCUGCUGAACUACCCUCUGAGGUUGCGCAGAACCCGGUCUCGUAGCUUGUAUUUGAUCAGCCCUUUGUGGACACUCUUGAAUACAGUGCUCUAAUAACCCACACCUCAGACAAGCCCUAAUCCUCCUCCAACACUAGCCCAAAUGGCACCUUCCAUAAUCACCGCAUAGGUGCAACCCAAUAGGAGCUACAGAAGCCCCUACUCUAAUAGGCUCAUCCAGUCUAGCCUUUUUCUUAGGCAUCUGAACAGAACUAAAGGGCUCUGCAUCCCUCUUAGUCUUACCCCACUCUCAAUCCCUAUUCUGACGCUCCACGAGCUUAAUAUUCUUGGCGAGCUUCGUCUUCUCAACCAAAAUCGUGAACUUCCGCUCCUUCUGUGGAGCAAUCAGAACUCUCAAGUUGUCCCUCAGACCAUCCUCAAAGCAGAUACACCUCUCAUACUUAGUCACUACCAUGCCACGAGCGUAGCGGCUCAGUCUUAGAAACUUGGCCUUAUACUCGGCCACAGAUUUAUCGCCCUGCGUAAGAUUCAUGAAUUCACGCCUACGAGCAUCCACAUAGCUCGUUGCCACAUACUUGUUCUGGAAGGUAGUCUUAAAGAAAUCCCAACUUAAUCGAUCAGGCUGAGUACCCUUCUCAACUAUAAACCACCACUGGUAAUCCUCAUAGCCCUUUAGUUUCUGCUUAGGAGCAUAAUCAAGAUUAUUCAUGAUCCUCUUAGUGGCCUCCAACCAAUACUCGGCCACAUUAGGGGUGACUCCAGUGACACCCCUAAAUAACUCAGUACCAUUAGACCAGAGUCGUUCAGUUACCGACCCUCGGCCCCUAGCUUAAAAAUGGGGUCCAGUGACCCUCUCCAAGAUCUUUAGCAUGGCUUAGGACGGUGUGUCGUCCCUAGCUGAGCGACUUUGAGACCAGUCUCGGUGGUAAGUGAAACCGAUGUCUCACUAGUAUCUAGAUUUGGCAUACUACCCAGAGAGCAAAACUCAGCUCGAGCCCCCUACGGCCUCUACCACGGCCUCAAAUACCACGUCUACAAGUUUCACGAGCACUCAUCGUAAACUUUCGACUUUUAUAUACAUUAUAAAAUUUUAUGCAUCAGUUCUAAUAGUUAUUAGUAGAUGUUUUAUGCAUAAAUUUUCAAAAGUUCAAAAUUGUUUUCAGAGGUUUCAGUCUCUAGCUAACUUAGUAUAGUUUCGAAAGGUAUUAUCUACAGUGUUUCAGAGCAGUUCUAACUAAGUUUUAGAAAUACUUACAGGAUUGGUGCCGAAGACUUGGUGUACCACAUUCCUUCUCAAUUGUUCAAAUUAUUUAGGAUAUUUGAAAACCAAUUUCUUUUUUAAACAAAAUUUUGGAACCCAAAAUUCUCAGCUGAGUUUUGCAACCUCGCUUUGAUACCACUAAAUGUAACAACCCAAACCUAGCUUAGACGUUAUGCCGCAUCCAGAAGUGUCACAUGGUAGGGGUUUUGAAAACGGAGUUGUCACGUCAGAACACUCAUGUUUUUACUUGAAAACACCAUGUAAUUAAUCCAUUUUCCAAAACUUAAUACAGCAAAAGCCUUAAAACAAUUGUAUUAUGAAAAUGUAGUCGUGUUUUAAAAAAAUCUUUGUUUGCUUAUAAAUUGUCAUUUUUAGAGAAACAUUUUGCUUAAGCAUGCAUUAGCAAUGUAUAAAUCCAAAACCAACAGUUAUAAAAUCAUAAAGUCUGGAAAGUCUCAGAAAUUAAAAACUCUCAAAAAUAAUCCAAAAUCAUAAAUAAACCACAAAUAAUCAAGUUUUAAUAGUUUUACAAAUGAGUGGUCACUGUUGAGUCUCUGCCGCACCGAUCCACCUAAGUCUAUGGAUUAGCUGACAAAACAGACAACAGAUGUGAGUUUGCAAAAACUCAGUGUGUAACCUAACAAAAAUAAGCAUGCAAAGAUACAUAACUAUAUGCACAGUUAGAUACAGAUACAGAUUAAGAUAUGAAAAAUCUUACCGUCAUCCUUUGCGCACCAUCUCCGACCAUCCCUCACACCAUGUGUGGUUUAAAACACUCACCCAGUCCUACACACCACAUUAUGCCCUUAAGACAUAUCAGAAUAUAUACAGCCAAGUUGCCAGAAAAUAGGCGAUUAACACCAAAUAGAAUACUUCCUCCAUACAUAAAAAUCCCACCCCAAUAACAAAUACAGAAAUUAGAUAUAGAAUAUUAGAUUAAUAUCUCAACAUACUUUUAAAUGGAUAUCGAGUUAAUCAGACACACAUAGUAUUUUCACACUCAGAACAGAAUAUCAGACUAUCAGAUUCACAAUUUUAAGGUUUGGUUAGCCCUUACCGAACCUACGAUAGGCCUACAGUCGAUCGGAAUGACCCAUGCGACUCUAGGGAAAAUUUUAGAGGGCAUGUGGGCCCACACGCCUAGAUAGGCCUUUAUUGGUGUGGCUCACACGGCCUAGGCCAAAAUUUACAACCUCGUGUAACAUGCCCGUGUAGCCUACACGCCCAACUUGGUCAUGCCCGUAUAGCUCACACAGCCACACUUGAGCCAUCACACGGCUGUAUGCUGCGCACGGCCAUGCCUUCGUCCACCAUAUGGCCAUGUCUCGCACACGGCCAUCCACACAGGUGGCCACACGCUCGUGUGGAGACGAUAGUGUAGUUUUUCGGCUUACGCUAAAACUCGAUUUUUCGUGUUUUAGGAACACACCUGUUACAAUUUUGAUGCGAAACCAACCCUGAAACCACCAAAACCUAAAAUGGACAAACUGAACCCCCAAACUCAGUCUUAAAACACAAUAAUCCGAAACUAUAGUACCAAAAACUCAAUUCAAGUGCUCAACACUUACUUUCAAACCUCGAACACCAGUAACUGCAAAUUUGAAAUAGAAGAGUCCCGUUCUUCGAGAAUCACCGCUGUUAAAACAGAAUAAUAAGGCUCCAACCGACAAUUUUGAAUACGAACUACGUAAACAAAAAACCCCACUUAUCGAACAAUUGACAGGAAGUAGAACAACGUGAUACAAAGAUUCGUUGAUCGGUCGAAAUAAGAUAAGUGAAAGUAUCAGCAGAUGAAGAACAAAAAAGUAGAGCAAAUCAAGGAAAAAUGACGUCGAUUUUUUUCUUCCUGGAAUAUGGAGGAAUUUUGAAAAAUAAGAAAAAAUAAAAAUAAAUCCAAAUCCCCCCACUAUCGUACUAACAACCACUACUUAGAAUCCCAUCUCUAUCGAAACUCUCUCCCAAGCAACUAAGUAAAAAUUAAUAUCCACGCUCGCACCAAGAUUCAAAGACAGGACCUCCAACACACUAACUCCCUUACCACUCGAACUAGCAGACUCAUUUUGAUAUGGAUUUACAGGCAAUUUAAUAUAAGCUCACUGAUUAAAGGUAAGGCUUAGAUCCAAAAAGAACCUAAAUUUGCCAAAGGUAGGGCUUGAACUCAAGACCUCACAUAUACACCCAGAACACUUAACCACUGAAUCAGAGAUUUAUUUGUGUCAUAUUUUAUUGGAGCAUAAAUAAAUUAUUUGGGGUGUUACAUUAAGUUAAAGUCAGAACAUUGAAUCAACAUCCAAAGUCAAUCCUAAACUCAAAGUGGUGAAAUAUGUUUCUUUUUGGUAAUGGCAUGUACCUAGGAUGUUGUGUUUGUCAUUUUGGGAAAUGAUUGUAAUGAUGCUAUAAUUUGAAAUGGGUUGAAUAUAUAUAUGAACAUAUGUAUCAUGUUUAAAACUAUUAAAUGAUGUGCUUUAGUUGAAAUUGGUAUAAAUUUAGAAAUGACUUAAAUGAUGUUAAUUUAAAUUGUUUUAGAUAUUAUAUGUGAAAUACCUAUAGGAGAAUAUUGAUUGGGCACUAAGGAUGAUUAAUUUGACAUGUUUUAAAUGUAUUUGAAUGUGUUUUGGAUUGGUUGAAUGAUUGGUUUUUUAGUAACUUGUUAUUUAAGUUUGCAAGGUUGGUAAACUUGAUGUAUAAUGCUCAUUUUGAGUCCACACGGCCUGGCACGCGGACGUGUGACCAAACCGUAUGAGACACACGGCUUACAUAUGGGAGUGUAGAUAGGUCGUGUGUCUCCUGCAUCUUAAAAAUUUAAAACAGAAUGCCCAGAAAAUUGCACACGGGCAUGUGUCUCAACCGUAUGAGGCACACAGCAUAGCACACGGGCAUGUGGCUGACCGUGUGGCCUAAGUCAGAGAGUUACACAGGGUCAGACAUAGCUUUAAGCACGGGCAUGUUUCAGGUCACACGGGUAUUUCCUUGGGCCACAUGGGCUUGUGAGCCCUGUACUUAGAAUUUUUUUUGAAAUUUCAUAAAAAAUUUUCUGAACUUCUGAUUAAGUCCCGAUUUGUUUCUAACACGUGAUUUGGGCUUCGAGGGCUCAAUAAAGGGAUGAUAUGGUUAAAUUAUGAUAUUUAAUAUUAUUAUAUGAUUGUUCGUAUUUGUUCUGAAAUGUUCGAUAAUACUCCGUAAGCCUAUUCUGGCGACGGAUAAGGGUUAAAGGGUGUUACAUGUGGAUUAAAGGGGAGUGUUGAGUUGAUUAUCCAUACUUGAUAUCUUUCUAAGUUUUUUUGUUUAAUAAAUGCCAAAAAGGAAAAAUUGUUAAUACUAGUUAUAAUUGCUAAUCACAAUGCCAGUUGUAACUUGAGAAAAGGUUUCCAGAACAUUAAAACUUGCCUUAUUUGAUUAAUGUAUUUUGGCAAAAUCUGCUUGAACCAUUAAUUGUUUUUUUUUUCAAGGAUUACUACCAACAUAUUAUAAAGGCUUUAUAUGGAAGAAUUAAGACAAGCAAGGAUCAAAUUCAAACUUUUAAAGUAAUUGAAGUUCACUUAGUUAAAAGAUUUGAUAUUUAAAGGAGAUUGAUUUUGAAAUGAUCUCUGCUUGUGUGGUGAUUACUUAAAGACCUUUUAAGUGGCUAUUUUAGUGGAACUAGUGAUUGUAAUUGAUUGAAUAACAACAAGCCUUUUAUUACCUAUAUAUUGUACAACUCAUUUACGUUAGAAAGUAUAAGAUAGAAAGCACAUUACUUGUUUGAUUAGGAACUAUUUUGAGUGCAAAAUUUGUAAGUAAAUAGAGUUGUGUUCAUCAGUUUACACUUAAAAUUUCAAAGGGAAAAGGUUACAUGUAUGAGUAGUAUCCUAAGUGGAAUACAAGUCAACUUCCUAAUUCAAGUAUGACUUAUACUGGUGAACCCCGUUCGUCAAAUUUGUUGGCGAACUCCAACUCGCCAAACUUACUAGCAAACACCGGCUUUGCCAAACCCCUUGGCGUGCUCAACUCACUCAAAACUGGUGAACCCUCCUUACCAUGUCUUCUGGCAUACUCUGAUUGCCGAAUCAAUGACGAACUUUGUUGAAAGUAUUUUAGCGGACACCUGUUCACCAAACCACAAGUGAACUUUUGCUUGCGAGGCCCAAACUCUUAGGCCCUAUCUCGAGAUGUUGCAUUACUAUCCAUUUGGACAGUAGUGUUUUUAUAAAGAGACAUGAAAACUUUUAUAAAUAGGAAUGGAUUUUUAUUUGGAUAUGUCACAUCCCAAAAUCCGAGUUAGUAGAAAUCAGGUUAAUGAACUGAGAAUGGUCACAUCUGAAUUUUUUUAGAUGAUCUUUUACUCAUUUGAUAAUAGAUAAGUAUCAAGUAUAGUGGUUGAGUAAUGAUGGAGCUAUCAUUGAUGACUUAUGUUCGAAUCCCUUCCCUUACAUUAUUUUCUAUGUGGUGUAAUUUUACCUCAAACCUUAACAAAUGUUACACCAUGUUGUUAAAAUAAAUGUUGUAAGAAUUAUAAUAAGCUAGGGAAUAGUUAAAUGGUUAAGUGUUUAGUUAAUUUCCUAAAGGUCCUAUGUUUAAUUCCCUAAACUCUUUUAGCUAGCCAACUUUCCCCCACAAACCACCUUUUCACUCCAGAUGUUCCCCCUUAAUCCACUUUUCAUGCCACUGUCUCCCAAAGCUUCCAUUUUCUCCUAUUUACCAAGCUUGAACCAUCCAUCCCACCUAAGUUAGCCACCAUUCACUUUCUUCUCUCAUUUUGUGUCUCAUCAUCCUCUCUUAACCAAUUCCUCCAUUGCUCAUCCUUUCUUUUCCAUUUCCUUCUUCUUUGAGCCACCAUUGCACCUCUUUUUCUCCACUUUUAUUCUAUCUUCCACCACCAUUAGUUAACCACACCACCUCCGCACCACCACCUUACUACUGCUGGACCACCACAGGACCACUGCCGCGACACCAUUUUUCCUAUUUUUUUGUUUUCUAUUCUCAAAAAUUCACCAAUUCCACCUUAAUUUCUGUCUUUUUAGUUUUGAUAAAUCCUUGCUAGAAUUUUAUUGCUUUUAUCUUAAAAAUAUCAUUUGCUAUAAAUUAAUUCUUUGAUUUAUCCUUUCUCUCCUUUUAAUCGGUUGAUUCAACAAAUAUUCAGUUAAAGAAUAACGUAAGUAUGAAAUGAUAUUGGGUACUAAAUCAUCACUUCUGCAUCAUCUUUUUAUUAAUAUGCGAAUUUACUAUUAGUGUUAGACAUCGUUUUUCUUCGAUAUUAACAUCUCGUACAUUGAUCUUGUGUGAAAGCUCAAUUGCUAACAACUUGGAACACUUUUGACUUUUGGGAAGUGAAUCAUAUCUCUGAUUUUAGUUAUAUUAGCGUAAGUGUGGUAUUGGAAAUCAUGAUUAAUCUGUUUUUAUUUAAAAGCAUAACUUGAGUGACGAUUUAAUGAUGGAUUAUCUGUUUUGUGUUUAGAUCCGAGAUGGCUCUAAUUAAAUCUGGAAGUGGGCGUUAGAAGGAAUUUUUCGCAUUAGAGUUGCUUAGAUUAGGUGUGUGUUUUAACAUUAAACGAAACUAAACCUAUGUUUUAUAUUGUUAAAAUUAUUAUUAUUUAAAUUAUGUUUGAUGAGGAUACUUUAUGUAUCCAUUAAGAGAGAUAAAACUCAUCGUUAUGGACUAUGUCAAGUAAGUGAUUCGAAACCAUUGAUUUUGGUGAUAUGUAUGAUGUGUGAUUUGUUGAUUAUUAAUUAUAUGAAAAUUAUAAAAAUCUCAUUCUCAUGUUAUGAGAUCUUAUGGCAUAUUUGAUUUUCGCGUUGUCGAAACCAUUUUUAAUUUGAAAAAUAGGAGUCGACUUAAAAACAAAAAUAGAGUCGCCACUGAUCUUUUUUCGAGGUGUGAUCAGAUCACCUUGAGAUUGAUCAUUUUAACAAAACAUUUUGAUUUAUUAAAACAAUGAUUUUGGGUCUAUGAAAUUCGAGAAAAAGGGUUCAGGAGUCGAUUAUGCACGAGGAAGGGUUAGCACUCUCGUAACGCCCAAAAUUGGUACCUAAUUGAUUAAUUAAUGUCUUAAUGUCAAAAAUUUGAAAAGAUUUUAGAAUACGAUCCUUUUAUUUAAAAAGAACACUUGAAUAAAUUAAAUUGGAUGCUAAGACCUUCUUAUUUCGAAGAAAUAAAAUGUCACACCCAAUGAGUUAGGACACGACAUUUGAAACCUUUGAGAAUAAGAUUGUCUUUUAUUUCUUAGAAAUUCUUACCUCAAGACAACAAAAUGUCACAUCCAGUAAGUUAGGACACAACAUUUCAAAUUCUCGAGAAUAAGCUUCUUAUUUGAAAUUCGUGUGUUUCAAUUUCAAAAGGGUAUUCGGUUAUUUAGAUCAAACGAAGAAACCGAAACCCAGCACGUUAGGACACAAUUUCUCGAAUUUACAAAUAUGGAAUAUUGCUUUUAUUUUAAAACAAAAUUUCAUGAAUCGGGUCAAGGUUAAUGUAAUGCAAUUUGAUGAAAAAAAUUACAGUACUAAGAUGCAUACCAGAAUAACAAAUGCGUAAUGCAAAUGGUAAUAACAAUGACGAAAAUAAAAUGGAAUAAAUAAAUACAACAAAGAAACUAUAAAAGGGAAAAAAUAAUAGGUAAAAACUAAAGAAAAUAAAACCUAGAAAUAAACCAAUAAAUAGAUGCUAUGUAAAAUAGUCUAAAUAAUAAUAAUAAUAAUGAUAAUAUUAAUAUAAAUAAUAAGUAAUCUAAAGCUUAAAAAGAUUAGGUAAAUGAAUAAUAAAAUGAUCAUAAAAAUGUCUAAAAGUAAGGAUAAUUAUAAUAAGUAAGUAAGUAAACACCAAAAAAAAAAAGAUGUAAUACAUAACAUGCAAAAGUAUUAAAAAUAUAUAAAUAAAUAAAUAUAUAACUGAAUUAUAAUAAUGAGGGCAAAAAAAAAUGAACAAAGGGGAUAGUAAAUGAAAUAACAAAAAAUACUAAUAAAAAUUUAAUUAAAAAUUUAAAGUAGGUUGAAUAACAUAUAAAUAAAAAAUAUUAAGUAAAAUGCUUUUAAAAAUAAUAAUAAUUAUAAAUAAUAAUAAUAGUAAUAAUAAUAGUAAUAAUAAUAAUAAAUAAUAGUACUAAUAGUAAUAAUAAUGAUAAUAAUAAUAUUAUAAAAGAAUAAAAAAAUAAUGAUAUUAAUACAUAAAUAGAAAUAGAAAUAUAAUAAUAAUAAUAAUAAAAGUUUUAAAAUCAUAUAAGAGGACAUAAAUAAAUGAAUAACAACACGAUAUAAAUAAAUAAAAUGUUAAUAACAAGAGUAAAAAAACAUAUAUAAGAAAAAUAAUAAUGAAAAUAAUAUUAGUAUAUAAAUAGAAAUAGAAAUAUAAUAAAUAGAAAUAUAGUAAUAGUAUAAAUAUAAAUAAAAAAUAAAUAAUAGAUAAAUAAUAAUAGUUUUAGAAUAACAAAAUAAAUAUAAAUGGAAACAUAAUAAUAAUAGCAAUAAUAUAUUAAAUUAGUUAAUUUGAUAAUAAAAUAGCGAAAAUAAAAAAAAAGAUUAAAUAGAACCUUAAAGCAAAAUUUUGGGGCAAAUCAAAAAUAAAUAAAAGGAAAUGGACCAAUUUGAACGUGCGAAUAACAAGGAGAGACCAAAAGGGAAAUAAUUCUCACCCUCUAAAACGCACAGCUUCAAGGAAGACCAAAAUGCAGUCAAAAUAAAUUUUAGGGCAAAAAUUAAGAAUAAUGAAAACUUAAUUGCAAAACAAUAAAAAAAAAGGAAUGGCUAAAAGCAAUUGGACGAAUUUAGAAAAAAACAAAGAAAUUGAAAUGAAAUGGACAAAAUUCCCACGUAAUUGAAAGAGAAAAGAAAAUAAUUCCAUUCCAAUGGAGAUAGGAAAAGAGAGAAUAAUCCAAUUCCAAAUUGAAGUAGGAAUACCAAAAGUCCUCCCUUUCAAAGAACAAAAUAUCCCUAUUUAUAUACAUGGAGUUUACUAAAAAUAGUCUAACUAAUUUAAUAAAUUAAAAUAAAAUAAAAAUAAAAUAAUAUCUUUCUAUUUUUGGCCUUUUACCAAGUCAACAGAAUUUGAUAACUCCUUGGCUUUCUCAAUCUUUUUGAUUUGGCCCCAAUUUAAUGAUUCUUUCAAUUUGACCAUUUUUGGCUUUAUUUAUUCGGUUAUUAUUUUUUUCGGGCCCAGGCCAAAAUUGGCCUAUUACAGCUGCCCCUCUUUGCUUAUUGUCGUGUAACGAGAAUGGAGCAAAGACUAUAAAAGGGCCAAUUUUGUCUGGAUCGGCGCUUCUUUUCUUCCCCUUUAAGUAACCUCGUUCCAAUUCACUGUAUCUUCAGAGGUAUAAGAAUUGGUGCUUCGAUCCGCUCCAAUGUAAUUUCAGGGAAAAGAGAUUUAUAGCUUCAAUCUACUCCGCUGCAACUUCAGGGAGAUAAGAUCUGCUAUCUUCAGUCUGCUCCACUGCAACUUUAGGGAGAUAAGACUUGUAUCUUGAACCUGCUCUACUGCAACCUCAAAGAGAUAAGGCUGGUGAUUUAAAUCUGCUCCAUUGCCGCUACAUGGAGAUAAGAUUCAUCGUUUUCGAUCUGCUCCACUACUGUUUAGGGAGAUAAUAUCUACAAUUUUCGGUCCGCUUCACUGCAAUUUCAGGGAGAUAAGACUUGUAUCUUGAACCUGCUCCACUGCAACUUCAAGGAGAUAAGGCUGGUGGCUUAAAUCUGCUCCAUUGCCGCUACAUGGAGAUAAGAUUCGCCGUCUUUGAUCUGCUCCACUACUACUUAGGGAGAUAAGAUCUGUAAUUUUUAGCCCGUUCCACUACUGCUUACGGAGAUAAGGCUAAUGGCUUAAAUCUGCUCCAUUGUCGGUACAUGGAGAUAAGAUUCUUCGUCUUUAAUCUACUCCACUGCUGCUUAGGAAGAUAAGAUCUGUAAUUUUCAGCCCGUUCCACUACUGCUUAGGGAGAUAAGGCUAGCGGCUUAAAUCUGCUCUAUUGCUGCUACAUGGAGAUAAGAUUCACCGUCUUCGAUCUACUCCACUACUGCUUAGGGAGAUAAGAUCUGCAAUUUUCAGCCCGUUCCACUACUGCUUAGGGAGAUAAAACUAGUGGCUUAAAUUUGCUCCAUUGUCGUUACAUGGAGAUAAGAUUCGCCGUCUUCGAUCUGCUCCACUACUGUUUAGGGAGAUAAGAUCUGCAAUCUUCAGCCUAUUUCACUACUGCUUAGGGAGAUAAGGCUAGUGGCUUAAAUCUACUCCAUUGCUGCUACAUGGAGAUAAGAUUCGCGGUCUUCGAUCUGCUCCACUACUGCUUAGGGAGAUAAGGCUAGUCGAAAUACUUGUAGAAUCAAUUUCAUAGGCCUAUGCUUAUGCCUAAUGAUUAGGAUGCCAUGAUCAGAAUGAGUCGAAUGCUCCUAACUAGAUGUGUUAUGAAUGACAUUUGUAUGAAUGUAGAAUGUCAGGAGAAUGCCUUUUUUUAACAUUUGAGCUAUUAUUACUUGCUGUUUGACUAGAUUAUAUCAUUGACGUAUGUCCUCUUGUUCAACUGAUAUCGUUAACAGAAAAUCUGAAGAAAUAGUCAUAAUUUGGACUUUACUUCAAGUAUUUUCAACCCUUAGGCUUGGUGAGUUCUAAAUAAUUGUCCUGUUUUAGGUUCCUGCACAAUUUAGAAACUUCUAGAGUAAUGUGCAGAACUCCUUUUGUGAAAGUGUUAUUAGUCCAUUAAUCAUUAUUUCAAUACAAAAUGCUUGAAAAAGAUUAUAAAAAUGGAUAAAACUGAAAUUUAUUAAGAACAAAAUCUGAAAAGAACGAAUUAAUCAAAGACAGCAAAAAUUGUCUGGAUACAAAAAUAGGUAAGGAAAAAAAAUAAGUGCCCCAAAUAUCGCAGCCUGAGUUUCUCCGUACGAACUCUUCGAGGACCAUUUUGAGCUUAACAUGUGCCUAGGGGAUCUAGAGUACUUUGUUGAUGCCCCAAGGCGUAGCAUACUUCCUUUUUGUUAAUUUAAGCAUAGCAGACUAUCACAUGUCUCAUCUUCAAUCAAAAUUUGAAUUGCCCUUUCCAGGUUUUCAAUUCAAAACCCCUUUGGCCUCGAGGCGCCAUUUGCAGGUUUUCACCUGGUCCUCUCCUUUUUCUUUUUUCUUUUUUUUUUCAAAGCGCCCUUUGCCGGUUUUUGCCUUGGCUUCUCCCCUUUUAGGUGAAGUACUUCUUUAUUGAAUCCGAAUUUACUGGGUUGGGCAGGCUAUUACCAUCCAUCUCAGUUAAUAUCAGCGCUCCCCCAAAAAAAUCCUUCUUUACCACAUAAGGUCCUUCCCAAUUUGGCAUCCACUUUCCUCUAAAGUCCUUUUGUAUAAAAAAAAGGAUCUUCAACGCUAGGUCCCCCUCGUGGAAUUCUCUAGGAUGAACCCCUUUGUCAUAAGCCCGUAUCAUCUGACCGUGACGGAUAUCCUUCAAAUUUGACUGAUCAUAUCGGGAUUGGAUCCAUUUUGCCUCAUCCAAGUUUAGUUCUGACAAGACUCGGAGAAAAGGAAUAAUUGACAAAAGGCUUCCAUUCCAUAAACUAAUGAGAAAGGUAUUAUCCCGAUGAAGGUCUUAGCCGACGUUUGAUAAGUAUAGAGGGUAAAUGGUAACUUCUUUAUGCCAAUCUUUACAAGUCUCGGUCACCUUCCAUAAUUUUUUUAUUUUUGUUUUUGUUUUUUUCUUUCUCUUUUUUCGUUUCUUUCUUUUUGGCUGCCUUUGCUGUACUAGGAUAUGGCGUCUGAUCUUUAAACAAACUAAAAGAUUUUGACAUUGUGCUGUUGUAUAAUCCUUUCUAACAUUCCUUGUCGGCACCUGAUCUUUUUUCUCUUUUUUUAUUUUUUUUAAAAUUUGAUGACUAUCGACUUUGUAACAUUGGCAUAUGAAGUGACUUUCACCCUCUUCGUGAAGUAAUCGAUGACCCUAAAGAUGAAUUGGUAUCGUGUAGAAGCUUUUGAAGAGAUUGACCUCGUAAUAUCCAUGCCCUACAUAUAGAAAAUCUGUGAAGAAAUGGAUGUGGGACAUAAGUCUUGUUUACCUCCAUUUGGCAUUUACGGCAUAAUUGAUACAAUCUCCUUCCAUGGUGGAUCAACAGUACCCGAACCUCAUGAUUAGCCUGGCUAACAUAAAACCAUUAGCAUGUGUCCUCUUAACAACCAUAUGGACCUUUUUUAGCAUCCACUGGUCUUAGCAACCCAGGCAUAUCUUGAUACGAUCAUGCAAAAACAUCUUUGAAUUUUUGAAAUAACUUAAUGACGUCUCAUUUUGUCUUUGUGGUGAUGCUGGCUCUGAUCUUUUCCUCUUUCUCUUUUCAUAGGCUCACUGUCCAUUGACUUUUUGUAGAAUAGGGUUUGUUUUUCAUCUUGCUCUACCAUUCUUAACAAAUCAAGAGAUAAGGUACAAUCUCUAUCAUCUUCAAAGUCCUGAGAUCCCUCUAAACACAUAUCUCACCCAAAAGGAGACUCUGAGUCAGGGUCAGUGUCAGUGUCACUCACGUCAUUGAUAUCUGGGGAUCUGUUGUAGGUAUAAAGGCAAAUUCCAAAGAAUAAAUGAUUCUAAGGAUGAUUAUUUGUAUGGUAUGAUCAUAAAUUCAGAAUAAAAGCAUAUUUAAAGGAGAGUCCAAAGAAUAAAAGAAUCUAUAAAUAGGAAGAAUAAAAGAAUAUUUGCUCAAAAAGAUACAUUUCAUUGAAAUAAAGAUUUUGGACACAAGCCUAUUUCACAAAAGGAUUUUUAUUGCAUCUAGGCUUAAAGCAACAAGCGUGUUUUGAAUAUUACUCUAAAUUAGUUCUAAAAAUACAGGGUUCUCUUCCACAGACUCAUUGCUUAACACUCUCCCAAGUAUACAAGGGUUUGGAAACUUUUAUUCCUCGAUUCUCUCUUUGGAUAUGUCAUUCAGAUUCCCUGAUAUUCCUUCCAGGAUUUUGACUUGUUCAAGUCAUAAAUACCGCAUUUAUUUCAUUGUCAGAGUGAUUAGGUUCUGGGGAAUCAUCGAAUUUCAUAAUUCUCAUUUCAAUGAACCUUUCGACCAACUUUUUAAAUGUAGUGCAGUUUUCGAUUGAGUGUCCCAUUAUUCCCGCGUGGUACUUGCAUUGAGCAUUCUCAUUAUACCAUUUUGGGAACGGAGGUCUCACGGGUUCUGAGUAGAACGGAGACACCACAUGCACAUCAAAAAGAUUUGAUACAACUUCUUAUAUGACAUCGGGAUGGGUGUAAACCUGAACCUUUCUGUGUUUGGCCUCGAGUUGGAUUCCUACCUUGAAGAAUCUUGAUAGCUAGUGGUUACAGCCCUCGGCUGGCCUAAGUUGACCAAUUUGGAAGGCAUGCUCACUAUGUUCACUUUAUUUUCCUUGUUUAUCAGGGUUGGCCUUUUGGCGCUCUCUCCCGCAUCUAUCUUUCCACUCCUUACCGCAUUUUCAAUUAUCUCACCGGAUAUUACUAUAUCUGAAAAGCUCAGAGUAGUGCUUCCCAACAUUUAGUUAAUAAACGAGGCUUUCAGAGUAUUGAUGAAAAGCAUGGUAGUCUCUUUUUCUAGGAGAGGUGGCUGAACUUGUAUGGCAACUUCCCUCCACCUUUGGGCGUAUUGCCGGAAACUCUCAUUUGAUUUCUUUUUCAUGCUCUGUAAAGUGAUCCUAUCAGGAGUCAUAUCCGUCACAUGACUAUACUGUUUCAUGAAAGCUUGUGCUAGAUCUUUCCAUGAAUUGAUCUUGGUACGACUCAAUUGUUUGUACCAUUUGGAUGCUGCCCCAACUAGACUUUCUUGGAAACAGUGAAUCAAUAAUUGGUCAUUAUUGACAUAGCCUGCCAUUUGUCUGCAGAACAUGGUGAUGUGAGCUUCGGGAUAGCUAGUCCCGUUGUAAUUCUCAAACUCUGGAGUUUUGAAUUUGUGGGGAAGCACUAAGUCCGGAACUAAGCUCAAAUCCUUAGCAUCGAUUCCACAGUGAUAGUCAACAUUCUCUAUUGCUUUGAACUUUUCCUCCAACCACCUAUACCGAUCUUUGAGUUGUCUUGGCAAUUCCAUCUUUACUUUUUUCCAUUUUGUCCAGAUCAAGAACUAUAGAAGUGGUUGGAUUGCCCCCCGGAUUUGAGCCUGAGCCUAUCGGGUAAUCCACUGGUGCCGAGGUACCGGCCUGAUAUUGCUAGGAUCUGAUAGCAAUAGGUACACCUUGCGGACAUGUCUGAGCAUUUGUCAGGGUGAAACCCGGAGGGUAGAGAGGCUCCUCAUUGUCCUCCCCCGUAUUUAUCAUAGAGCUUUUUCCUUUUUCUAGCCCCUCAAUCAGCAAUUGGGACAAUUGAUUCAUCAUAUUCCUUUGGGACUCUAGCACUUGGUCUCUCAUAUCUUGUUGGAUCUUCACUAGUUGCUCUUUCAUUUACAUCUGUAACUGGUCUUGCAUCUCACUUUGAAGUUGUUCAAGUCAUUCCAAUCUUUGGUCCAUAUCUUUUGUCUUAGCACUGGUACCGUAACGAUGCUUGGUUGGUAAGUUUUUAUCGAUUUCCAAAUUAACUGAAAUGAUUUCAAUUAAUUAGGGUCCUUUUGUGAAAAUCUAAUGCAAAUGAUGCAAUGCAAUUCAAAUGCAUGGAAUGAAUGCAAAAGAAAAAGAGGCGUUGAUUCUGAAUUCGAUUUUAUUAUAACAACUUUUCUGGAAAACAAAUUCCUUUAUAAAAAAUGGAUUACAUAUGCGGCCUCACCCUUAUAUUCUAGGCGAAGACACCGAUCCAUUUUCUUCGUAAAAGUCAAAUCUCUCAAACUUCCAAUAGAUGCCUUUACUAGCUUCUUUUUGCUUGAUCCGGGCCGUGACUUAUUACUCACUUAUCCUUGCUAUACUUGUUAGAUCCUUUAAGGAAGUCGGGACGUGACGGCUCUCGAAUAAUCUUUAUCGACUUGAAUCCUCGGGUAAUAAAACAGUCUUGUUUUCCUCUGCGAACUAUCAGCCUUCUUUCAUUAUGUUUACUUGGACCCUAUUCAGACGACCGUAUUAUAAUCCACUCUAUCAAGAAAUCUGUUUUCCCAUGACAAGUUGUUCUAUUUAGCAAUCAAAUAUGAAUCAACACCUCCUUUCUAUGAUGAUUUAAUGCAAUACAGUCAUAAACAAAACAAAACACGUUAGCUCAAGACGAAAAAAACAAUAUAGGACACUUAUCUGGGUGACCGCCAGGAUUUGGCAUGGCUUUACCUAGCGUAGGCUCCUAAAUCUCUCUAUAUGUGGUUCGAUUCUAAAGAAAGGGUACCUGAACCAGCAGAUUCCUCAAUCCUCACCCAUUAUAGGCUCAUAUAGAUUGAGUUCAGUUUAGGGGAACACAUUUCCCAAUGGCUGCACGGAGGUGAAAACCUCACGAAGAUAUAGGUACGGAUGUAUCCCGAAAGCGAUCCACUAUCCUACACGGAGGUGAAACCCUCACGAAGGAAAUAGUUUCACACACCCACUUAAAAGGGUGACUAUGGUGGUAAUGCAAUAUGAUGCAGGAAUAUCCUACGAGACUCAAAUCACAACAAACAUAUGACAUGACACAAAACGAAUACGACAAAAGAACCAUGAUUUUUCAAAUCAAAUUUUUUAUUUUUGACAAAAGGACAAAAAACAAUCAAUUUUACGGCUUGACUCUCUUAUUGUCCUCAGUGGAGUCGCCAAGCAGUCGAAACCAUUUUUAAUUUGAAAAACGAGAGUCGACUUAAAAACAAAAAAUAGAGUCGCCACCGAUCUUUUUUCGAAGUGUGAUCGGAUCACCUUGAGAUUGAUCAUUUUAAUAAAACAUUUUGAUUUAUUAAAGCAAUGAUUUUGGGUCUACGAAAUUCGAGAAAAAGGGUUUGGGAGUCGAUUACACAAAAGGAAGGGUUAGCACCAUCGUAACGCCCAAAAUUAGCACCUAAUUGAUUAAUUAAUGUCUUAAUGUCGAAAAUUUGAAAAGAUUUUAGAAUACGAUCCUUUUAUUUAAAAAGAACACUUGAAUAAAUUAAAUUGGAUGCUAAGACCUUCUUAUUUCGAAGAAAUAAAAUGUCACACCAAGUGAGUUAGGACACGACAUUUGAAACCUUUGAGAAUAAGAUUGUCUUUUAUUUCUUAGAAAUUCUUACCUCAAGACAACAAAAUGUCACAUCCAGUAAGUUAGGACACAACAAAAAAAUUUUGAGCAAAGGAGAUAGUAAAUGAAAUAACAAAAGGAGAUAGUAAAUGAAAUAACAAAAAAUACUAUUAAAAAUUUAAAGUAGGCUAAAUAACAUAUAAAUAAAAAAAAUAUUAAGUAAAAUGGUUUAAAAAAAAUAAUUAUAAAUAAUAAUAAUAAAUAAUAAUAGUACUAAUAGUACUAAUAAUGAUAAUAAUAAUAAUAUAAAAGAAUAAAAAAAUAAUGAUAUUAAUACGUAAAUAUAAAUAGAAAUAUAAUAUGUAGAUGAUAAACCGUAAUCUAUACAUAUUUUUAUCCUAUGCUCAGCACAUUUAUGGAUGGUUUCUCCUUAGAUUUGGUGAAUUCGAUGCUCUUAAUUCUUUAAUUUCAUGUUUUAUACUUAGGUGAGCAUAGGAGAGCAAAAAGAGUGAAAAACAGGCCGAAAAUGGAGAAAAUAGACCCACAUGGGAAAUCAACACGGCCUGGACUUCCUCACACGGGUAAGCUACACAGCUGUGUCUAUUUGGCAGGAUCGAAGCACGAAUUACACGAGUAGACUACACGCCAGUGCCUAUUUAACAGCCUUUACCACGGGCUGGAGUAAUCGCACACGGGCGUGUCUUUGUCAAGCCCAAGUAUAGUCCUAUUCGAAAAAGACCACUUUUGAGGGCUCUUAGGCAUUUUAAAGCCUAUUUAAAUACCUGAGGAGGCACUUAGAACACACAUACGGAGUAGGAGGCAAGGACUUACUCUAGGGAAGUUGAUUGAUCCAUCUCAGAAGCCGGAUUCAUCAUCAAGACUGAAGAUCUCCCUUCAAUUUCCAUUCAGGGGUUUUGGGUUUUCUUUAUGUUUUGUAUUCAUUAUUCUUCUGAGAUGUUUUCUUUUAUAAUUAUGAACUAAACCCCCUAAAUACUUAAGGGGAAUGAAACCAAAAAUGGAUCUUGUUAUUAUUAUCUGAAUUAUAUGAUAAAUAUUUGACUUGUUCUUAAUUAUGUAUUCUUAAUUCUUGUCUUAAUAUUCUAGGAUAUUGAUUCAAGUUAAUGCGCUUAUUCAGAGUAGCAAAAGUCCCUGUCUGAAAGUAAAUUUGUCAUAAUUAAGCUGGGUUGACUGCACGUCUAGAGAUAGCGUGAUAAGAUUUUACCGGAUUAGGGUGAAACCUAAUAAGGGGAUUCAUAAAUCAAAUUAAUCCAACACUAUGGUAUUAAUUAGAAAGAGAUUUCAAUUAAUCAACCUAGGGUUAGACGUUAUUAGUCACGAGAGAGAUAAUAAUAUAACUUAGGGAUUUCUAUGGAUCAAGUCAAAUGAAUAAAUCAUAUGAUUCAGAGUCAAAUAACAAGUGAAGUCUAGGUGGAUUUUUCAUUGGGUAUUGUCUUAAUAAAUCAAAUUUUCCCAAAAGCUUUUCCCUAAUUUCUCUUUGUGCACUCUUAGUUUAGUUAAUUAGUUUAGAUAAACAAAUCCUUUAAUUUUUAGGCUAGAUAAUAAAAAGAAAGUAAUUACUAGUACUCUUGGUUCCUCUAGGUUCGACAAUCCGGUCUUACUAAAGCUAUACUACAGUUCGAUAGGUACACUUGCCUUCAUCGUGAUAAUAGUUAGUUGUACACUUGCCUUCAUCGUGAUAAUAGUUAGUUUCAAGAACGAUUAAUUAUAAAUUUUUAAAACCUGUCACGAAUAUCACGUAUCAAGUUUUUGGUACCGUUGCCGGGAACCUAAGAUAUUAGGAACACUCGAUUUUUAUUACUCUAGCCAUUUUACUUUAUUUGUAAUUUAAAUUUUUAUUUUAUUUUCUAAUUUUUCUUUUAUUCGCUCCUAGUAGGUUUUUAUAGUGUAUGACUAGAAGAAACUCGUCAGGACCAUUACUGUUUGAUUGUGAGAUCGAUCGUACAGUUUUCAAAAAUCGAAGAGAAAUAAGGCAAAGCUUACGAUACACAGAGGAAGAGCAAGAAGACGAUACUUCAACCAUAAUCGAGGAGAUGGCUGAAAACCAGGAAAAUCUGCUACCUCCUGCGAUUGCCACUGAUCCAGUAAAUCAGAAUCCUACUCUGCGUACUAUGUAUGAUUAUGCUAAACCUUCUUUAACAGGAAAUGAAUCGAGCAUAGUUAGGCCUACUAUUGCUGCGAAUAAUUUUGAACUGAAACCUAACACCAUUCAAAUGAUCCAACAGUUUGUUCAGUUUGAUGGUUUGCAGGACGAGGACCCAAACGCUCAUUUGGCGAAUUUCUUAGAAUUUUGUGACACUUUUAAAAUUAAUGACGUUUCUGAUGAUGCCAUUCGCCUUCGGUUAUUCCCUUUUUCAUUGAGGAACAAAGCUAAACAAUAGUUGAACUCAUUACCACGAGGGUCAAUCACUACUUGGGAACAAAUGACCGAAAAUUUUUUAUUAAAAUAUUUUCCAUCGGCUAAAAUAGCCAAAUUACGUAAUGAUAUCUCCUCUUUUGUGCAGAUGGAUUUAGAAACACUCUAUGAUGCAUGGGAGAGAUACAAGGACCUUUUACGAAGGUGCCCUCACCAUGGGUUACCACUCUGGCUACAGGUUCAAAUGUUUCAAAAUGGCCUGAAUCCUUCGACUAGACAGAUUAUUGAUGCAGCUGCUGAUGGAACUAUCAAUAAUAAGACAGCUGAGGAUGCUUAUAAAUUUAUAGAAGAGAUGUCAUUGAAUAAUUAUCAGCGGUAAAUCAUGAGGACAAAGCCAACAAAAAUAGUCGGCGUUUUUAACGUCGAUUCGGUCACUAUGCUUUUUAAUCAGGUAGAACUUUUGAUUAGAAAAAUUGACGGUUUUUUCGUUCUUCACAGGUUCACCCAGUAAUGCAGUGCGAAACAAGUGGAGGUGGAUCAAGCAAUUCAGAAUAUCCACCCCAUGGCCACAACAUAGAGAACGAGCAGUUAAAUUACAUUGGCAAUAAUCCUUAAUCUCAAAAUAAUCCUUAUAGUAACAUUUACAAUGUAGGUUGAAGGAACCACCCAAAAUUUUUGGGGAGGCCACGGAAAUCAGAGACCACCACCACCUCUGGGCUUCCAACAACCACCCUACCAAUAGGAAAAGAAGCCAAACCUUGAGAAGAUGCUAACAAAAUUCAUUUCGGUGUCAGAAACUUAUUUUUAGAAUACCGAGACAACACUUAAGAAUCAACAAGCAUUGAUCCAAAGGCUCGAAACUCAGAUAGGCCAGCUUGCUAAAUUGAUAUUUAAACGCCCACAAGGUAGCCUGCCGAGUAACACUGAAUCUAACCCAAAAGAGCAGCUUAAUGCAAUUACCAUUCAAGAUGUGGAAAGGUUAGUUGUACCUGAACCAGAACCGGGGCAAGAAACUGUGGUAAGUAAAGGUAAAGGUGAGGUGGAUCACAAUGACCAAAAACAAGUAAGUACAGAGUAUAAACCACGUGUACCAUACCCAAAUGCGAUAAGGAAAGACCACUCAGACGAAUAAUUCGGGAAAUUCCUUAAACUUUUAAAGAAAUUACAUAUUAACUUACCGUUUAUUGAAGCUCUUUCGUAGAUGUCGAACGUAGUCAAAUUUUUAAAGGAGUUUUUAACGAAUAAGAGGAAGUUAGAUGAGGCGUCACAUGUGGAGUUAAAUGCAGUUUGCUCAGCCAUACUACAGAAUAAGCUAGCCAACAAAUUGAAGGAUCCAGGGAGUUUUACGAUUCCUUGUUUAAUUGGUAGCUUAGAUGUUAAUAAUGCUUUGGCUGAUUUAGGGGCUAGUAUCAAUGUCAUGCCUUAUAAAAUGUUUAAACAACUAGGUCUUGGGAAACCCAAACUAACUAGGAUGAUCAUUCAAUUGGCUGAUAAAACUAUCAGAUUUCCUAGGGGUGUUAUUGAAGACGUACUCGUUAAAAUUGACAAAUUUAUAUUCCCAGUUGAUUUCAUUGUUCUAGACACAGAGGAGGAUAGUAACGUGCCUUUAAUUUUAAGAAGGCCCUUUUUAGCAACUGCCAAAACGAUAAUUGAUGUUGGUACAGGUAAACUCACACUUUGUGUGGGAGACGAAACAAUCACCCUUCAAGCUCGUAAUUCGAAUAACACAUCAAAAAUUGAAGGUGGUUUUAUAAAUCAUACUACUAAAACUGACCAUGUGGUGUAACCUACUUUGCAGAAAACAGGUUCAGAGAACACACCUGAGCCAUGUUCGAGUAACGACAAAGGACCUAUAUAUGAAGAACGAAGGCUACAAAUCGAGAAACUAGAUGAAUGGCAGACACAUAAACCGAGGACACACGAGAAACCAAAACCAUGCCAUGACAGGCUCAAUAUCUCACCAAAUCAACUUAAGGUUGGAGACAAAGUACUACUAGAUGCAGCAGACCCUCGUAUUGCUACUUCUGAACCUAACGGAGCAAUCCCUCUUACGGUACUCAGUAUUUUCUCAUAUGGUAAAGUCGAGGUAAUUCAUCCCAAAUUUGGCACUUUUAAGGUAAACAAUACUCGUCUUAAACCUUAUGUAGAUAAAAUUGAUAGCAAGGAUGAGGAGUGUAAACUCUUCGCACCACCAUAACCAUGUAACAGAAAGGUAAGUCAAGCUUAGACUAUAAAUAAGCGCUUCUCGGGAGGUAACCCGAGCACUAACGAUGUUAACUUCUUUAAAAUUUUAGUUUUUGACAUUUAAUCACUAACUAAGUCAUUGAAACAAAGGUUUUCUAAUCCACACAGUCAAGCACAGGGGCGUGCCUUAGGUCGUGCUCACACCACGGGAGGAGACACGGCCGUGCGAUACGACUGUGUGAAAAGAGGGUAAAAUUUUUUCGUAACACGGGAUGCGAUAAGUUGCCACGGCCGUGCGACGUGGCCUUGGCCGAGUCUGUCAAACCAACACAGAUGUGCGACACGCCCGUGCCCAUCAACCGUGCUCAAGACUGAUAAAAUACCAUGAGCGUGAACAUCCAUACACGGGUAUGGGAGAAGCGAACGAAGUAGAACAAGGCCGUGCAACACGACCAUGUGCACCAACAAGCCUAAGGAACACGGGCGUGGGCCGAAUGCAAAACACGCCCAAAUUUAAAAAAUCGCGAAAUACACGGGUGUGCCCCACGAUCGUGUGCCUCAAAAUCUAUAUAUAUACUCCUUACUAUUCAUCACCCCCUUCCCCAAAAUCCCUAACCCUAGCCGCUGUAACUUCACACGCCCUAUCUGCCACGCCCAGGCGCCAAGCACAGCACCACCUUCGACGACCCAAAGCUCCUCUCUCUUGCGUUUGUUCACUUUUUUCCCCUAUUCUCUCCAUUCUUUUACUUAUUUCAUGAUAUUUUGUUUUAUUUUAAGUAAUUAAUCAUAGUUAUAAUGAUAGAAUACUUAUGCUCUUUGUUAAGAAAGUUUUCUUCUUAGUCAAUACAUUUUGCUACAUUCAUCCAUUUUUUUUGUUUCCAUAGAUUUCAUGCUUACCCACACCAUAUUUCAUACUCAUCAAACCCACAUGCAUUCAUUCACUAGAUAUUUCCGUUAGCAUUACUCUCGUAGUCCUAUUCAUAAUAAUGACUUGAUAUAUCUGCUUUGGUUGUUUUAGUAUAUUUUUCAUCUAGUACGUGAACCCCAUGAAAUAUUCUUAUUUAGUUUUAACACGCGUCAUUCUUGGGGAAUAUUUAACUUUGACUUUUCAUUAUAGGUAUACAAUGUCAACCUUAUGUGGUAAGAAGACCCCUAUCCCCGCCUCGAAAAAGAGGAAAUAAGCAGCAUCAUCCUCGGGUCCUACCGUGGAGAUUAGGCACCCAUUCCUCCAAUUUCCCUUGGGACCCCAGGAGGAACUAUUUCAGAUAUUACGGGCUCGACCCCUAGGUGUGGGCCGUUGCAUUGACUGGGCCGCACUUGAACAAAUUCAAAUAGCUGACGCGGUCCGAGCCCUCCUAAUGACUGACCCGUGUGGGCUCUUCUUUGAGAUCAUCGAGCCGACGUACCUCGAGCUCACAAUGAAACUCUGCUCGACCUUCUAUUUCUAGGUCAUCAUGACUAACUUCGACGAUCCUGGAACGAUCUAGUUCUACCUUGGUGGUCUAGUGCGCCAGUUGAGUGUACUGGAGUUUUGAAUUGCACUAGGGCUGUACAUGGAGGAGUUCAUGGACAAAAAUGAAAUAGACACCCUCCAUCGCCACAUCUACUACUCUCCCUCAAAGUGCUGGAAGAACCUCGUCCCUGCCUCGGCCACCUAUGAUCCUAGCCGCUCUAAGGCAUCAGCCCUCGCCUCAUCCCUGCGAUCCCUAUACGCCAUCUUGGCCCACACUCUGAUAGGACGGCGAGAGAGCACUGGCGUCGUCAAUACUCACGACGCCUCUUUCUUGUGGAGCAUGGUGAACGGGCACGUCUUCGACCUUGCCUAUUUCAUUGCCCACGCCAUCUGCUAUCAGACGGAGCGGCAUAGGAGAGGAGUCAUCUUUAUCGGGCCCUAUGUGACUCGAUUGGCUCGGAACUUUGGGCUCCUCAACACAGCGGCACAAUCAUCAUCCCUCACUCUCAUCGGCCAGAUGUCCCCACAGGGCAUCUCGAGCAUGUUACAUAUGAUGAUGAUCGAGAAACGACGUGGAACCUACCCUCCUCAGUACCGCCUCGUCCAGUCCACCGAUGAGGAGGACUUAGAGGACAUUACUGAUGAUGUCCCUCCACGUCAUGAGGACCCACCGUCUCAGCCACCACCCAUCCAUCGUCCAGUUCAUGCAGCGGCUUCAUACUCUGACAUCUCUGAGCACCUUACUCGAUUUGAGCAGCAGUGUUUUCAAUGUUUUGAUCACAUUGAUGCUACUCUUCAUCAGAUUUGUCAGCACCUUCACAUCUCAUCGCCACCACCACCUCACGAACCAUCCGGCGAUGACGAUGUUUAAAGACUUUUUAUUUCUUAUUUUUAUUUCCACUUUUAUCUUUAUUUAUCUUUUUUAAGUUCUUUUUAUUUUAUUUUCCUUUAAUAUUUUUUUAAUUUUAGGUUUUAUAACUUUUAUUGAAUAAUUUAUAGUUUUGGCUAUUUCAUUACGAGUAAUUAUGCUUCCUUAUAUUUCCUAAAGAGUUCUUGAUUUUAUCACAGUUAUAAAGAGCUCCAAAGCUCAUCAUCACUUAGGAACUAAAAACUCCACUGGAAAAGGUUCUCCACGACUGCCACGUCCUGCUCAACCACGACCAUAGAUACUACCAAAUAUAAUAUUCUUUUGGCGCAGGACUUAUGGACUAAUGAACCUCUACCAUCACCGGAGUAUCCUCCUCCACUCUCGUCAUUUCCUUGGCCGAUUAUUCUCCAUAACUCCAAUUCCAGGAGUUCAUUCACCAUUCAGGAAGUUUCACUUCUCUCCCUAUCUUAUGAUUAUAGAUCUAUAUUUUUCAAUAUAUCUAUCUUUGUACAUUGAGGACAAUGUACAUCUUAAGUGUGAGGGGUCUUUUAUAUCAUUAUUAGGAAUCCCUGAAUUUUGUCUUGUUCUCAUGUGAUCUUCCCAUACCACUAUUAGAAUGAAUUUUGAUUAAAUUAUGAUUUUUAUUGAUAUGUCUUGAAUUAAAACAUAGGCAUUUAUGCAUUGAUCGUUUAAACUUUAAGACAUUGGGGAAUCAAGCAUGAUAAGUUGAUUUUUGAAAAUUAAAAAUUUUUAGGUUAUUUCCCCAAGUUUAGAUAUUAUCUUGAGUUGAAAUUCACAAGUUUAAACAUCAAAAAGCCAUAAUUUUUGUGAGAUCUUGAGCCUUUAGAGCAUAUGUUAUUUCUUUCAUGCCCACUUUUAUUAUGAGUGUGUCAGUAUUGAUUUGUUAUUCUAGAACUUGCUUGAUUAUGCAUGUCAAGACCACACCAUUUGAUUUGAUAUGUCGAGAUGAUAAAGGCACUUAGGUUUAAGCCACUCAUUCCACAAAAGCCUACCUUCAUAAUUAACCCUUAGUGAACCCCUUUGAGCCUAACAAGCCAUUAAUUGAUUUACCCUCAAUAUUAACCCAUAACCCAUUAUUGUUGAAAUCCCCUAAUUUGAUCCCUAUUUUUGUCAAGAUUUGAUUUGAAUUAAUUGCUUAGCUAUGUUUUAUUCUUCUUUGUAAUAAUUAAGUUCUAAAUAUUUGACUUGUUCUUAAAAAAAAUACUUACAUACAUAUUAGUAGUAAUUCGUCAUUUUUGAGCUUGAGUGUUAAUUCCAUAUUCUGAGAAGAAGCUCAUUGGUAUUCAACUGAUAAUUAGUUAUUUUUCUAAUUAGGUGAUUUUUUUUAAAUCAAUCUCGAUUCUAACCUUUUCUUUCAACUUGUGACCACACCCCCUAACCAAAGCCACGUUUCAACCAUCUAAAGACCUUUUUGAUUGAUGUAUCAUUUCAAUAUAUAGUGGUGGAGAUUGAUUUUCAUGCAAGCCUAAGGUGAUAACUUUUCAUAUUGACUAAUGAGUGCUUUAUUUGAUGUCCUUAAACACCUUGAGUGAUUUGAGUGAAUCUUUAGUGAGGAUGUUAAACUCUGUGAUAUUUUAAUCAAAGGUGGUUACUUAGAUGAGGAGGGACACCUAUGUUUUCAUGAUAAAAUGCUCAACUUGGAAUGUUUGAAACUUUGAUGUACUUUUAAUUAAAUUUUUAAUGUAUGAUUACUUAUGGAUUAUUUUGAGAUAUUAUUGAUAGGGAUUAUAAAUUGAGAAGAAUUUAUUUUGAUUGUGAGUUGAGGAUUUUGCUUGAGGACAAGCAAAUGCUUAAGUGUGGGGGUAUUUGAUAAUCCAUAAUCUAUACAUAUUUUUAUCCCAUGCUCAGCACAUUUAUGGAUGGUUUCUCCUUAGAUUUGGUGAAUUCGAUGCUUUUAAUUCUUUAAUUUCAUGUUUUAUACUUAGGUGAGCAUAGGAGAGUAAAAAGAGUGAAAAAACGGGAGGAAAACGGAGAAAAUGGACCCACAUGGGAAAUCAACACGGCCUGGACUUCCUCACACGGGUAAGCCACACGGUCGUGUCCAUUUGGCAGGAUCAAAACACGACUUACAUGAGUAGAAUACAUGCCCGUGCCUAUUUAACAGCCUUGACCAUGGGCUGGAGCAAUCGCACACGAGCGUGUCAUACGGGCGUGUCCCUGUCAAGCCCAAGUAUAGUCCUAUCCGGGAAAGGCCACUUUUGAGGGCUCUUAGGCAUUCUAAAGCCUAUUUAAAUAUCUGAGGAGUAAAUAUCUGAGGAGGCAUUUAGAACAUACACAUAGAGUAGGAGGCAAGAAAUUACUCAAGGGAAGCCGAUUGAUCCAUCUUAGAAGCCAGAUUCAUCGUCAAGACUAAAGAUCUCCCUUCAAUUUCCAUUCAGGGGUUUUGGGUUUUCUUUAUGUUUUGUAUUCAUUAUUCUUCUGAGAUGUUUUCUUUUAUAAUUAUGAACUAAACCCCCUAAAUACCUAAGGGGAAUGAAACCUAAAACGGAUCUUGUUAUUAUUAUCUGAAUUGUAUGAUAAAUAUUUGACUUGUUCUUAAUUAUGUGUUCUUAAUUCUUGUCUUAAUAUUCCAGGAUAUUGAUUCAAGAUUAAUACGCUUAUUCAGAGGAGCAAAAGUCCCUGUCUAAGAGUAAAUUUGUCAUAAUUAAGCGGAGUUGACUGCAUGCCUAGAGAUAGCGUGAUAAGAUUUUACCAGAUUAGGGUGAAACUUAAUAAGGGGAUCCAUAGAUCGAAUUAAUGCAACACUAGGGCGUUAAUUAGAAAGAGAUUUCAAUUAAUCAACCUAGGGUUAGACGUUAUUAGUCUCGAAAGAGAUAAUAAUAUAACUUAGGGAUUUCUAUGGAUCAAGUCAAAUGAAUAAAUCGUCUGAUUCAGAGUCAAAUAACAAGUGAAGUCUAGGUGGAUUUUUCCUUAGGUAUUGUCUUAAUAAAUCGAAUUUUCCCAAAAGCUUUUCCCCAAUUUCUCUCUAUGCACUCUUAGUAUAGUUAAUUAGUUUAGAUAAACAAAUCCCUUAAUUUUUAAGCUAAAUAAUAAAAAGAAAGUAAUUAUUAGUACUCUUGGUUCCUUUGGGUUCGACAAUCCGGUCUUGCUAAAGCUAUACUACUGUUCGAUAGGUACACUUGCCUUCAUCGUGAUAAUAGUUAGUUUCAAGAACGAUUAAUUAUAAAUUUUUAAAACCUGUCACGAAUAUCACGUAUCAAUAGAAAUAUAAUAAUAAUAGUUUUAAAAUCAUAUAAGAGGACAUAAAUAAAUAAAUAACAACACGAUAUAAAUAAAUAAAUAAAUAAAAUGUUAAUAACAAGAGUAAAAAAACAUAUAUAAGAAAAAUAAUAAUGAAAAUAAUAUUAGUAUAUAAAUAGAAAUAGAAAUAUAAUAAAUAGAAAUAUAAUAAUAGUAUAAAUAUAAAUAGAUAAAUAAUAAUUAGAUAAAUAAUAAUAGUAUUAGAAUAAAAAAAUAAAUAUAAAUAGAAACAUAAUAAUAAUAGCAAUAAUAUAUUAAAUUAGUUAAUUUGAUAAAAAAAUAGCAAAAAUAAAAAAGGAUUAAAUCAAACCUUAAAGUAAAAUUUUGGGGCAAAUCAAAAAUAAAUAAAAGGAAAUGGACCAAUUUGAACUUGCGAAUAACAAGGAGGGACUAAAAGGGAAAUAAUCCCCAUCCUCCAAAACGCACAGCUUCAAGGAAGACCAAAAUGCAGUCAAAACAAAUUUUAGGGCAACAAUUAAGAAUAAUGAAAACUUAAUUGCAAAACAAUAAGAAAAGGGAAGGGCUAAAAGCAAUUGGACAAAUUUAGAAAAAAACAAAGAAAUUGAAAUGAAAUAGACAAAAUUCCCACGUAAUUGAAAGAGAAGAAAAUAAUUCCAUUCCAAUGGAGAUAGGAAAAGAGAGAAUAAUUCAAUUUCCAAUUGAAGUAGGAAUACCGAAAGUCCUCCCUUUCAAAGAACAAAAUACCCCUAUUUAUAUACAUGGGGUUUACUGAAAACAACCUAACUAAUUUAAUAAAUUAAAAUUAAAAUAAAAAUAAUAUAGUAUCUUCCUAUUUUUGGCCUUUUACCAAGUCAAUAGAAUUUGAUAACUCCUUGGCUUUCUCAAUCUUUUUGAUUUGGCCCCAAUUUAAUGAUUGUCUUUCAAUUUGACCAUUUUUUGCUUUAUUUAUUCAGUUAUUAUUUUUUCCGGGCCCAGGCCAAAAUUGGUCUAUUACACGCAUGAUUUACAAAAUGUGAAAUUUUGGUACCAUGUGGACAUAUGUGAUUUGCAUGUUAAGCAUGCCUAUGUGAUUUUAAGUGAAAAGUGAUAUAAUGAGCAUGCCUCAUAUGCCAAAGUGAAAAAUGAUUUUUUUAAGUGAAAAAGUUAUUUUGACCAUAUCACAUGCAUGGGGUAGGAUAUGUGAAAGGUGAAAGUAUGUGGUAAUUUAUCUGUAUUAACGUGACACUAUUCACGAUUUUGAUUAUGUGGUAGGAUAUCUGCAAUUUUGGUGGCUUGUCCACAAUAUUGCUUAUUGGCUGUUUAUCUACGAUUUUGGUGAUAUUGUUCACAAUUUGGUGUGUUGGAUGGACGAGUUAUGAGGAACUCGAUUUUGGUGUGUGGCGGAGAUUGGUAGGACUGUUUUCAUAAAGUCUGCAUCGUUUUACAAAAUGUUCUUUGAAAUGAUCAUGCAUAGUAUAAGUGUGAAAGAUUGAGUUAUAUGAAAUUGAUAUGAUUAUUAUGAUUGUACAAUGCAUAUGUUUAUAUGCAUGUGAUUGUGUUUAUGUUAAUCUCACACUGAGCUUUAUAGCUCACCUCCUUUUAGUUUUUUGAUUUUACAGAAAACCCGAGGUUAGGAUUCGAUGACGGCAUUUGGAGGAGUUUCUCGGAAGUCUUUUUAAAUUAAAGUAAUUAAAUUUUAUUUUGAUAUGUUGAUAUUUUGCAUUUGUAAUAAAUUUGAGUAUGGACUAUGGCAUGAGACUUUAUUUUGAGGAUUUUUCAUUCUGAUUUGCAUAAAUUGCUUGCAUGACAUUAAGUUUUAAAAAUUGUAUAAAUUAGUAUCCGAUAAGAUUUUGCUUGAAGCUCAGUUUUUAAAAUAGAAUCUGUCAAUAACAUAUUUUUCCGCUACAUUUCUAAAAAAUGAGUUUUAAAAAAAAUAAAAUUAGCCUUAGUUUUCAAAAUUAUUAAUGUUUACAAAUGAGUUUUCUAAAGACAUUUGAUUUAUGAAGUUAAUAUGUUUUUAUUUUCGAAAUAAUGAAGAUUAACCAAGUUAUCCAAUUUUGAAUAAAAAGACAACUGAUUUAGAAGUAUGAUUGAAAAUCCAAAAUAAUUUUGAAUAAAUGAUUGAAUGUUUAAAAUUCAGAUAUUAUUUAUUUUGAUUCCUGAAAUUUUCACGAUUUUUAUGAAAUUAAAAUAAACGUUUUAUUUCAUUUGUUUUGAAUUGAUAAGUCAAUAGUUUUAAAAUAUUUUUUUUUCAAAAUUCUGAAAGUUUAUUUCAGCCAUUUUCGUGGAAAAAUGGUUUUUGAAAUGAGAUUGAAAAUAAAGUUGAACAUUCAAUUUUACUAGUUUUGAACGAAUUGCACAAAUGGUUUAAAAUAAAAUAAAAUAAGUACAUUUGAAACCAAUAAAGUGUUUUUCUGGGUCAUUCCGGUGGCCAAUGUAGCCUUCCGAAUUCAGCCAUAACGACUAGGCCGGGUUUGAGAUGUUACAAUAUGAGGCACAAAAAAAACUUGAGAAGCACAGGUUUCUUUCUAUUCUCCUUCAUCUUCUAAUAUUCCUAGAUUGUUUUGUAAAGAAUUACUGCAAAAGUUCUUUAUAGAAAUUGAUAGUGUUGUUAUACCAUGCUCAAUGCUUAAUAGACUGUUUCCGUUAGUGCAAAAUGUCAACGAUCAUCGGGCUUCAUUGUAUCAUCGAGGUUCAUUUGCUAGAAACUAUUUUACACACCAAAACAUAGGUAGGGGUGAAUAGAACGCUAAAUUUAGUGACAUGAUUAUACAUGUCGAAACCAUUUUUUUUGAAAACGGGCAUUGACUUUGUUUGAAAGCGAAGAUUAAAACGUGAGUCGCCACCGAUCUUUAUUAGGUGUGAUUGGAUCACCUUUGUUUUAAUAAAACAUUUUAGCUUACUAAAACGGUAUUUGGUCUACGAAACUCGAGAGAAUGGGAUCGGGAAUCGAUUAUGUGCGAGGAAGGAUUAGCACCCUCGUCACGCCCAAAAUUGGUACCGAAUUGAUUAGUUAGUGUCUUAAUGUCGAAAGUUGAAAAUCGAGAAUGGAUUUAAAAUAUGAUCCUUUUUAUUAACGUCGAUUUUAAAAAUGCUUGAAUUAGAUCAAAACAAUUGCUAAAGAUUUUCUUGUCUCGAGAUAUCGGGGUAUCACAUCCUGUAACACCCAAAUACCCGUAUCCAUUGCUGGAAUAGGGUCACAUAACAUAACCUGCUCAACUCCUCUAUAGAACACUUCGCGUACAUAAGAAUCAGAUUUGCACUUUUCAGUUUCAAUAAUUUCGAAUCCAAUGUAAUUAAAUAAUUAUAACAACAAUAGCAUGUUUCCGUGAGUAACUUCUAUAGUAUGCGCAUACAAAAGGGUAAAAGUGUAAAGUCUUGAGCUUAAUGUAUAACAUCAUACAACUAAAACUUUUCUAUUCAUUUGGUGAUUUUUCUCCUCUUGACCGAAUACACAUACAUAAUAUAUAUCUCAAAUACUUAACAUGUUAGUUCAAGCAUAACAUAAUCACACUCAUAUCACAUCUAUGAACUUAUAUGUCAAGUUGAUUAACACUUCAAGAUUUAUAUAUAAACCAUUAUCAAAUCCAUACAUAGGACUUUAGCCAUAUUAGCAUGGCUUUAUAUACAAUACUAUCAAAAUAGCAAACCUCCCAAAAUAUUAUCCUAUACAUGCCAUAAUGUCUACUAGAGUUUUAAACAAAGGUACCAAAAAGGUUGUCAAAAGAUGCGAUGACUUCGUAACGGUUCCAAGCUUUCAUCGACAAGAUGAUCUAUACAAAACCAAUAAACACAUCAAGUGAGUUAUUAACUCAGUAAGUCCUAAGAAAUUUCAAGAAUGUAAUAACCCUAUUAAAUUAGCAAAAUAAAAUUUCAAUCCAAUACUAGCCGAAUUCAGCUAUGAUAUCACAAGGAAAUCUUAUGUCACAUACGUACAUUAUGAAUUUGGUACAUACUUACCCGAAUUCACUAUGUACUCCUACACCAUUUAAUGACAAAUUGAAAAUACCAUGGUAAAUGUCAUAUACAAAUCAUUGGCGUAUAUGUAAAUGACAUACAAUGUCCAAUUAUUUAAAUAAAGCACUAACCAAGCCACUCCAUCUAUCAAUCCAAUCUCCAAUCUAUUUAGAUUCAUUUAUCACUACUUUAUAUCUUUGUUCAAUUAUAUACUAAUUGAGCCGAUUACCUUUCUCUUCUUUCUCUCUUCCCAAGCAUUAUAUAUUAAUACACAUAUUAGAAUCAAAUCCCAUGUCUAGUAUCCAUGCACAUUUCAUUACUCCCAAUUUAAUGUUUUAAUGAAUUUUAAUUUGCACAAGUAGUGCUCCACGAUCGAUAUCGCACACUUAGUGCUCGAUUUGAAAGUCCGCACACAUAGUGCUCUUAAUUAUUUGCACACAUAGUGCCACGUUUUCUCGCACACAUAGUGCCAUGUAAUCUCGCACACAUAGUGCCGCAUAGCCUUGCACACAUAGUGCUGUAUUUUCUUAUCUAUUGCUACCACAAUAUCAUAGAUAGGUCAAUAUUUUCACAUUCGAUUUUCAAAAACUCAUACAUACCAUGGUUUCUUAUCCAACUUAUUUUGUGUCAUUUAUGUGCAAUGUUAACCAUAGCUUAAAUUACUUAAGGACUUACUUUUUAGUCGGAUGAACAACUCUGAUUGGCUAUUCAACCGCUUUCGCUUUCCCUUUGGCCGAACAUGGCUCCCUUUGAUCUUGAGCUCCAACUAAGCAAAUAAAAUAACUCAAUCAUUGUAGCCCCAAUUUAUAUUCAUUCCUCAUAGACACACACACAGAUUCGGUAUUCCAUCUAAUAUUAACCAAGCCAUAACAAUAUAACAUUUAAAUAUUCAAGAUUUAUCACCUAAUAACUAAAACCGAUCAUCAAAUUUAUUGAACCAUUUUUUUUAUUCCUUCAAGACCCCAUUCGGCAUUUGCCCACACAUAAUUUAAAAUUUAACCUUUAAACUUAAUGCAUAUCCAAACAUACUUCUCAUCUAUUCCAUUAAUUCGAUACAUAUACAAGAUCAAUUUUGGCAACUCACAUUUCCAAAUUUUUCAAUACUCAACAAUUUGUCAAUUAAUUAGCUAAGCUCAUUUUCAGUUAGUAUUCAUUUAAAUGCUAUCAAGCUCAUAUACUUCUAAUUUCAUGAGUUCAACAUCUUAAUGCCCAUUUUGAUCACUCAAAUAAAUUUCCAAUACAUAAAUUAAGAAUAAAUUUCCAAUACAUAAAUUAAGUCACUCAAACAAUCUUAAUUUAAAUUCGGCAAACACACAUACCAAACUAUCUUAGCCAAAUUCUCCAUAACACUUAAACUAAAAUAUGCACAUUAAACUUACUCAAUUUUCAUUAUGCCUUUCACUCCUAAAACAUAAAAAUAUCAAUCUUAUUCCUUCAUCCAUGUCUCGGUCAAUUGCUCAAAUUACCCCAUAAACAUGAAUUUUGCACUUUAACUUAUCUACCAUGACUCAUUCGGCCUUAACACUUAUUUGAACCAUUUCUCAUACAAGAAAGUAAAAAUAAAAUGAACAUUCCAUUUAAACCCCAUAUGACCGAAUGCACAAAGUAUUACCCAACUAACAAUUCAACAAGUUUAACCUCAUUCUAACAUCUACUUAUUCAAUAUAACAUGAAAACAACCUCUAAUUCCAACAUCUUGAUUCACGGCCUAGUGCCCAAACCACCAUAGAAAUUUGAUUUGCUUGACAUGGCCAAGAAAUGCAUUUAACAAUUAACUUAAACAUAUAAAAAGAUUUCAAAAUCACUUCAAAACUUACCUCCAACUAGCAAAAGAAGGUGCCGAAUUGCCUUAAUGUAAUUUCUCUUUUUCUUUCCUUUUGUUUUGGUUUUGCAAGAAGAAGAAGAUGAACACUUAUGUUUCAGUCUCUUCUUUUAUUCAUCUUUUUAUUUUUAAUUCAUAUUAUUUAUGAUAUUUUAAUCACUUAUCAAUAUAAUAUUUUAAUUAAAUUAAACUUAGUGGAGGGACAUCAUUACUUGGCCGGCCACUUAAUGCAUAUUGGGCAUUUUGACAUGCAAACCCAAACUUUCCUCACACAUUUACCUAACAUAUUUUCUAAGUUUCUCAACUAAGUCCUUUCAAGUGAAAUUCACAUUCACAUGACUAAAUUAAAACAUCAAAUUUUUCACACAUGCACUAUCACACAUAGAAGAUAUGAAAAUUAAUUUUUAAUGAAUUUUAUGACUCGGUUUUGUGGUCCCGAAACCAUAUUCCGACUAGGGUCAAAUUAGGGCUGUCACACAUCCCGUAAGUUAGGACACAAUACCAUGAACUCCCGAGCACAAGUUUAUCUUUAAUUUUAAUUGAAAUUUCAUGUGUCUUGAAACUUAAAGGGAUAUUUGGCCAUUUAGAUUUAACGAGAAAACCGAAAUCCCGUAAGUUAAGGUACGAUUCCUCGAAUUUCCUAAAACACAAAAUAUUGCCUUAUUUGGAAACUUUUCUUUUUGAAAUAUAGUGAGUAUGAUAUUUAACAACGUACAUUUAUUUUGUUUGGAAAAAAUAAAAUGAUCCAUAUUUGAUAAACAUGUUGGAGCUUAACACAUGACAUGAUUUAAAAUAAAAUAAAAGGUACUAUAAAGCAUGGAAUAUUAAUACACGAAUUAGAUGCAAGGUUAAUGAGUGUCAACAAUAUGAGGAUGCUAAAUAAACAAUUUCAAUAACAUGUAAUGGCAAUAUUCACACGACGUACAUCGUUUUUAAUAUCAACCUUAAUAAACAUAGAAAUGAAGUAAUAAUAAAAAACAGCCUAAAACAAAUAAUAAGAUAAUUUUAAAUAAACAAUAUGUACAUAAAAGUUUUAAAAUAAAUACUAUAAAAGCAAUCUAAAGUAAAUAAUACAAAACAAUUUAAAAUCAUUAAUAAAAUGUCUAAAAUAAAUAAUACGUAAAAAAAUUAAAAUAAAUAAUAUACAUAAAAUAAAAACAGUUUAACAUAAAUAAUGUAUAUAAAAAAAUAAUGUAUAAAGAGUUUAAGAUAAACAACAUAUAAAAAUUUGAAAAUAAAUAAUUCAUAUAAAAAGGAAGUUUAAGAAUAAACAUUAUAUGAAUUUAUAAUAAUAAAUAGUUCAAAAAUAAUAUAUAAAAAGAAUUUAAGAUAAAUAAAUAAAAAAACAAUAUGAAGUAAUUAAUAUAUAUAAAAUAAUUCAAAAUGACAUGUAUUAGAAAACAGUUUAAAAUAAAUAUUAUAUAAAAAUUUAAAGUAAGUAAUAUAUAAAAUAGUUAAAAAUAACACACAAAAAUAUAUUUAAAAUAAACAAUACAAAACAGUUUAAAAUAACUAAUAUAAAAGGUUUAAAAUAAAUAAUAUAUAAAAUAGUUUAAACUACAUAAUGUAUAUAAAUUUAAAAUAUAUAAUAUGUAAAAGUUUAAAAUAAAUAAUGUAUAUAAAAAAUUAAAAUAAAUAAUAUGUAAAAUAAUUUAAAAUAGUAUAUAAUGAAACAGGUCAGGGAUUGAAUUGAAGUCGAAGUAAAAAUAUGGGGCAAAAAUUAUAAAUAAUGAAAAAUAGGCCACCAAGGACCAAAAUGAAUCACGCUGAAAUUACGAGGGACUAGCUAGGAAAUAUUUCCAGCCUUUAUUCGUAUCAUUUCAGUAGGGACUGAAAUGAAAUCAGAAGAAAAUUAUCCGGCCAGAUUUUAAAAAAAUAAAGAAAGUGAAAGAAAGGGUGAAAUUGCAGCGCGCACAAAGGCGGAGGGACCUCGCGCAUAAAUAUCCCAAUAAUGGGAAACACGCGGAUCCCCCCUGAGUACGGGUCGGAUUCGGGUCGACCUUUCCGAAAACGACGUCGUUUUGCACCUGGGAAGGCCACCCAAAAUGCUGCCGUUUUUGUGCUUUCUAUUAAAGCAAUUUUUUUUUCUCUUCAUUUCUGCACUCCUUUUUUAAAAAACAGAGAGUUCUUUCUUUUCUUUUUUUUUACUCUCUCCCUCUCCCUUUUAAAACUCUCCUCCACAUUCGGCCUAUAAGGCUGCUUGGUGGUCCGUUACAACCGUUGGCCGACGACGGCGGUGGAGCGCAACCCAGGUACGCCCUUUUCCUCUCUUUUUUUUUUUUAAAUCUAUGCAUUUUUUUAUUAAAAUAGAUUUUUUAAAAGAAGGAAGUAAAUGAAUAAACAUAAAAAACAAAGAUAAACAGAAAAUGAAAGAAAGAAAAAAAAGAAAAAGAACAAAGCAAAACCUUUUAAAACUUCCGUUUUAUUUCUUUUCUGAUUUUUAGUGUGUGUAAAAAGUUUUUGUAAAAAACAGAAAAAGAAGAUACAAUGAGAAGGUUGUGGCUUUUAAAGCCAAGUUACAAGACUUUUCUUUUCUAUUUUUUUUUUGUCUUUUUGCUCUUGUUUCUUCUACUACUUGUGUGUGCCUUUUUUGCUUGCGAGUUGCAGGUGGUUGUCAGAGGCGUGCGAUGCAGGUGAUAGGCGAGCCGAGUGGCGGUGGUGGCGCGCAUGAGGGGCUAAGCGGCGGCUGCAAUGCUAGGGUUCCUUCACUUCUUUUUUUCUGCUGAAAAUGUUUUGGGUUAAUAAGGCUAGGGUUUAGGUUAUUUGGGCCUGUUGGGCUUGUUGGGUUUUGAUUGGGCUAUUGGGUUUAAUAUGUAAGUAGACAUUUAUUUUGGGCUAUUUAAUUAUUUGUUUAGGUUUAUUGUUUUUUUUUGUUUUGUUGACUUGGGCCAAAAUUGGCUAUUACAAUACACUUUGAAGCUUUCGCUAAUUUUUCAUAAAUUCAUUUUUUUAUCCUUAUGCACUGACAAUGUCCCAUAGAUGUAGGAAGUUUUUUAACUAUGGGGACUUUGUUCUGGUGUCCA
rnacentral:lncRNA from 1 species